rnacentral:lncRNA from 1 species
CUUCCUUAGUUCUUCUGAAAAUUUGGCAGGUCUGAGUUGAACAUCAUCUUCGCUUGAAAGAUCUAGAUGAAGAUGUUUAGCAAUAAGAUUCUGCAAUCUAUUAAUGCUGAAAUCUUGAGACACAGUCACCCACCAAACAUGAUCACAGAUAUCUUGUCUUUGUAGAAGCUCAUUAUGGAUAUGUUGCAGUAUUGUUGUUUUACCAACCCCCCCCAUCCCAUAAAUGCCAAUGGUUGAGACUUCAUCAUCCAUUAACAAAGACCAUAUCACCUUCGUAUUCUCUUCAAAUGCUCGACCCACUAGCUUCUUAGAGCUAGUAGGUAAUGGAACUCCUCUAGUCUUGUUGUUUUUCAGAAUUUCAGAAGAUCUAGCUCCUGGGCCAGCCUGCACUACUGAUCUUCCACUAUUCUCCACUGGUUGUGUCCUCACUCUAACCAUGUCCUGUGCAUCUCCUCGAGGAGCACAAGGUUGAUCAUAACAUAUUCCAGAGUCAAGACAAAAUUGGGAUGCAUCUCCUCGAGGCUCCAGAAGCUGCUCUUGCUCUGUUCUUGGUACAGUCUCAAAUGCAUCAUGCCGAAAAGAUCCUUCACCAGUGUUUUGUUCCAACGCUCGAUCCACUGGUUCUGUCCUCGGUCUGCUCUCGAGUGCCCCUUCGGAAACUCCAUCUUCUGGUGCUCUCGUUCCAGUCAUGCUUACUACGUCAUUUCCUGCUAUUGCAUGUGAAGAAAUCCUCUGCUCCCCUACUGCGGGUUUUACAACCUGAACUUCUCUUUGUACCCUUCCAAUACCUCCUACCAUUGUUGAAAUUCCACAAUCAUUAACAUCGAUUGAACUUGCUGUGAUUUUAUGUCUUUUGUUGCCACCACACUUAGCUUUCCAGACUGCUUCUUGAACUUCUUUAGGCACCCCACGACAAAUGGCAACACCACGCCCUUCUUCUCCUGACAAAUGCCAUUUAAUCCUUGAAAUGGCAGUAUCCUUGGCAUAUGUAUGUGGACAAAACUUACACUUCAUCCUACCAUCAGCCCUAUAUUCAACAUAAUUCCAAAAUGGAUCCUUUGAUCCAACCAUUUCAACCUAUAGGAAAAAAAGGAGGGGGUCAAAAUAUAGAAUAAAAAUUGAUGCAAGUUACACCAUAUCCCGAUGGAUGAGAAACUACUUCUUCAGUGUUGUUACCCUUAUUUUGAUAUUAAAAUUGAUAGUUAGUUUAUUGCACAAUCAUAGGGGGGGAAAGACAACGAUAAUUCAAUUAUACUUCUUACUUGUUGAGUAUUUAAACCCCUAAUUUGACUUUGCAGGGAAGUCUCAAGGCCAGGAUUUUGCAAUCCUCGGACUUGGACGUUAUACAUCUGUGACCUGUAUAAAAAUGAAGUGAUCAUAUUAUAAAACCAAAAAUCAAUGGUGUAUUUAAUUAUAAAAAUGAAGUGAUCAUAUUAUAAAACCUUUCAAUAUUUGGUAGCCUCUCUUAAGCAGUAAAUAUCAAUGGUGUAUCUAAUUAUCAAAAAGGUGUUAAUACCGUGUUAAAACACAACAGCUAGAAGUCAAUCAGUACCUCGUAGAGUUGCCAGAGUUUCGAGGCACGAAGUUCUCUUGUUGCAUAUUGUCUAUGUCAGGAAUUACAGCAGCUUGAUCGUCUUGUCCUUGAUUAGAAAGAAAUUGAAUCCUGAAUCCAAAAUCAUUGGCAAGCAUUAUGAAGCAUUACAAACUUAUGAUUAUCUAGCUGGGUUCAUGUUCAAGCUAUGAUGGUACUUUCCUCUUUGAAAAACUAUUUCUUUUUUUUUUUACAGCAAAUACUAAAUAUGAAAAAUUGGAUACCAGGGAGCAGGAAAAGAAGGUCCAGAUUGAUUGAAGCCACCAUGUUGUGAAGUGGUUACAUUCGGUGUCAUAUAGCCAUGUCCCUUCUGAGCUUGAUGAAUAAAGGAGUUCUGAUGCCUGAAUAAUAUUCAAAUAGUUAAACACAGAACUGUUAUUGUCACAAAAAAGAGAGAUAGAGAGCUCAAAAAGACUUGAAAGAUCCUCGACCUCGUCAAUUUUGGUCAAGUUUAUUGUUUUCAUGAUUAAAAAAGUGUAUAUUCGAGGUUAAUACCAUUGAUUCAAUGGAGGUUGAGGUCCAGGUAGCAUCCCAGGCACUUGAUUGCUCAUAAUUGGUAACUGAUAAUUAGUCCAUUGUUGGUCCCUAAAUUAGCAACAUUUAUUAGUGAUUUCUUUAUACAUAUGCAUAGUUCUUUGCUAUUAAUCCACUAAGCAUUUGAUAUCAUUUUAGCUUACCUCAAAGGCAUUGAUGGUCCAGGUACCAUGGGAUUGGCACAUUGAGGAUCAAAUAAAUUAGGAUUAGGCUGAUACCUAUAUUCAAACAUAAUGAAUUCACUGAUAAGUACAACAACAAGAGGAAGAAGAAGAAGUUAAAUACUGAUUGAAAAACUUUUUUUUUUCAGAAAAUACUAAAUAUGAAAAAUUGGAUACCAGGGAGCAGGAGAAGAAGGUCCAGAUUGAUUGAAUUCACCAUGUUGUGAUGUGGUUGCGUUCGGUGUCAUAUAGCGAUGUCCCGUCUGAGGUUGAUGAAUAAAGGAAUAAUGAUGCCUAAUUCAAUGGACAUUGUAGCAAAUUGGAGUAAGCAUGAGUACUCACCAUGGUUUCAGGAAAUGAAGUUGGAAACUGAGUUGUUUGUUGAAUACUAUCGUUGAUCUCAUUGUUCUGUCCACCUUGAUCAUUGCAUAAUAUGGAGCCUUGGUUGACUGGAACCUCCGGUGCUGGCCUGCUUCCAUGGAAUAAAAUAGAGGAUAAACAGAAGAAUAACUAAAUUGCAAGCAAUCAUCUUCUGAUAAAAUAUGCUUAAGAAUGACGUACGAGAGAAGUUGUGAUUGAAGAUCGAAAAGAUCAUCAUCCAUAGAAGAUGGUUGGAACCCUUCCAUCUGACCAAAAGUACAGGAUGAUUAGUACAUCCUGAGGUGAAAAAAGAACAGAAAGUACAAAGCAAAGAAAAAAAAAAGUAUAUAUAUAUAUAUAUGGCAGUCCCAUUAAUUGGAAAAGAAAAGGGUGAAUCUAAAAUAAGGAGUUAAAAACACUACUUUACCUAAACAAUUAUGAAGCUUAGAAGAAGAUGCCUAGAAAAUGUAAACACAUGAAUAUGAGAAACAAUAAUAUACUUUUCUUUUUAAUUUUUUUUAUUUUAAAAAAAUUAAAAUAAUAUUUUUUUUAUUUUUUAAAAUUUAUUUUUAAUAAAAAAAUAAUAAUUUAAAAAGAAAAAUAAUCAAAGUUUUUGAAAAGCAUGUGCUCUAACAAUAACAGAUUAAAUAUGUGAUUAAAGGUUUUCAGUCGAUGCCAUUACAUGCAGUCAAAGACUCCAUCCUUACUUUUAAUAAACAAAACCUACACUCAAUAAUAUGUCCUAGUAUUUUUGGCCAGUGUUUUUCCGUGGUUGGAUUAAUUUUUUUAAAAUAUAAAAAUAAAAUAUUAAGAGUGAAGAAAGUUUGUUUGCGAUAUUAUUAAACCUGUUCAAGAAGUUAAUAUUAAAAUCUUCUAACCUAACUUUUUAUUUAAUUUAAAUUUUUAAUUAAAUUAUAUGAGAAUUAACUUAGUAUAUCCAAAUACAACUUAGAAAACUAGAAAAACAUGGUUUAGCUUUUAAAAAAACUUCUAGACAACAACUUUUUAAAAAAUAUAUAUUGAAACAAUGACAAAUUUGACCCGGUCCCUCGCAACCUGGGUCAUGAAUUCUAUUGGGUUUAGUAAUUUUUUAUAAGCUUUUUUUUAUUUAAUUAUAUGAUAAAAAUAGAUACUCAUAAAAUUGAGUAUCAUCCCUAGCUAAAAUAAAUAUUUAUUUAAGAUUUUGAUAACCCUAUAGAAAGCAAACAAAAAUAAAUUAUUUAGUCUAUUUCCAAACCAAUCUAAUAUUGAAAGAUAAAAUUAAAAAAAAUUAAAAAAAUUAAAAGAUAGAAACAAAAAAAAAACAUAUUCGAUCAAUGGGUAAACCUGUCUAACUUGUGAAUCAGGUAAUUUGAGCUAGCACAUUAAAUCUAUGAACUGGGUUAUGGACUUAACUAGGAUUAUAAUUUUUUUUAAAAAAAUUUUAUUUAAUAAUAUCAUAAUAAAAAUAGAUAAUUGUAAAAUUAAAAACCAACCCAAUAUAUAUUGGCUAUAUGACACCGAACGCAACCACUUCACAACAUGGUGGCUUGAUGGAGUUUGAGGCCAAUUUUAUAUAAAACUUAAUGAUAAAAACAUAUCAUAAAAAAUGUCUAAAUCUCACCAAUUGUUGUCUGUUUGUUUAACAGUAAACAAUUUGAAGAUGCUCGAGAUCGAUACACUAAACAUAAAACUUUUUGCAUAAUACAAACACUUGCUAAUUCAAUGGACAUUGUAGCAAAUUGGAGCACUCACCAUUGUUUCAGGAAAGGACGUUGGAAACGGAGUUGUUUGUUGAAUACUAUUGUUGAUCACAUUGUUCUGUCCACCUUGAUCAUUGCAUGAUAUGGAGCUUUGGUUGACUGGAACCUCCGGUGGCGGCCUGCUUCCAUGGACAGUGACGACAUUAUAUUGUUUUUUGGGAAUAAUAGGAUAAACUGAAGAAUAACUAAACUGCAAGCAAUCAUCUUCUGAUAAAAUAUGCUUAAGAAUGACGUACGAGAGAAGCUCAAGGUCGGGCAAUAGUGAUUCAAAGUUGUCAACCUCCUCCAUAAAAGAUGGUUGGAACCCUUCCAUCUGACCAGAAAAGAUCAGAAAAAACAAAAAAACUGAGGUCUAAAAAGAACAGAAAGCACAGAUCAGAAAAGAAUAUAUAUAUAUAUGUGUGUGUGUGUGUGUGUGUGUGUGUGUGUGAAUGACUUUCUUGUUGGUUAAAGAAAUUCGGAUGAAAAAUAUGAAAUAUAAAUGUUGUUGUUAAUGAUUUAAUCCUUUGUCUUUUAAGAUAAAUUAUGAUACUCAAAUUCUUUUUAUGAUAGAUAGAAAGAUGCAGGAUAACUGUUGAAGGUAGAAGAGCUGAUUGUUUUGACGGGGUGAACAAAAACCUCUUUCAACUCCUCUUUAUUCAUAAUUUGGGGAGCAAAACAAAUGCAAGAUUCAUUGUUUACUGUUAAACAAACCUCUUUCAACUCCUAUUUAUUCUUUUUUAAUUAUUCUUAUUUUGUUUAUUGAAAGGUAAUUACCGAUCAAGUUAAUUCAUUGAAUCAUUGUACGAAAAAAAGUUGAAAAAUAUUGAAUAAAAAUGAAUGGCAGUCCCAUUAAUUGGAAAAGAAAAGGGUGAAUCUAAAAUAAGGAGUUAAAAACGGCAAAGAAUCUUGAAAAGACGAAAACAAAUGAAUUCAGUAUUGAUUUAGUAUGAACUCUCUCCACAAGGCAUGGAUUAUAAAAUCCGAGAAAAAGAUCAAUUUGUUUAUCAUGGAUUCCUUUAAAGAUUCAAACCAUACUUACAUAUAUAAAAACAAAAACACCAACAAGAUGAAGUACAAAUAAUUUACCAACAAGAUUCAAGUGCUGGUUUGCUUGAGCAGUGAUCAGCCAAAAGAAAAGGAAGAGAAAUCACAGAUCACAGAUCACAGAUCACAGAAGAAUAUAUGGUUUAGAAUAUAUGGAUUUUGUAUGGUUUUCUUUGCUUUGGUUUUUUUUAAGCUGCGUUUUAUCCUUCAUAUGACUUUAUGCUAUAUUAAGAUAUUGUAUAGCUUCUGAACUAUUCCCUUCAGGCUUUGACACUUAUAUAAUAUACGUAUCUUUCAAAAAAAAAAACAGAAGAAUAUAUGGUUUAGAAAAAUAAUAAAGUUGCAGCAUACAUAAAUCUAGUUCGCACUGAUCAUGAGAUGUGGAAAGGAAAAUAGGAAUUGUAUAAUGAGAUGAGAUGUGGAAGAGAAUGUUACAGCAGCAAGGUCGCCUCAAUAAUAAUAAUUAAUUAACGUAUUGUUUGCUAGGAAGAAAGUUGCCAGGAAGCAACCCAAACAUUACAUUAUAAGAUAUAGACAGUUAACGUGUGGACCCGUCCCAAUAGUGACACUUCGAAGAAGCUGCCAAGAAAAUGUAAACACAUGAAAUUUUCAAAAAAAAAUGGUAUAUUUAUGCAUGUUGUAAAUUUUUUUUAAUUUUUUUAAUUUAAAAAUAUAUUAAAAUAAUAUUUUUAAUUUUUUAUAUCAUAAUAUCAAAAUAAAUAAAAAAAAUAAAAAAUUAAAAAUAAAAAAAAAACACAUUGCGACUGUAAAGAUAAAUCAGUUUUGACAAGGCUAGAUUAAGUGUGCAAAUGAGAGUGAGGCUCCAAAUCUAAUUACGCAGGAAUUACUAAUUCGGAUAAUUUUCCAUCUUUUUCCGAGUUUUUCGGUUAAAAAUAUAAAGAUUUUUGUGGUGAUUGUAGCCCAACUUUGGGGUAUCGAGUCUCCACGGAGACAAAUUAAAAAAAUAAAAAAAAAUACUAUUUUAAAUGAGUCCAGGCUGGUUCAAAGUGAAUUUCACGACUCCUGGGCCUUGACUUUUCUGUGAGAGCUUCAACUCUACAUUGGAAUGUUUUUUCUUAAACUGUGAGAGCCUCAUAAUAAGCAUAAUGAGGGAAUUUUUACUAAACUAUUAAAUCUUAACAUAAAAGGGAAUUUUUACUAUUUAUCCACGAAUGAUACAAAAAUCUAUACUUUUUAUUAAAAUGAAUUCCUGAACCUAGUCGAAGAACUGUGGCAAAAACAGUUGAAGGAUUCCAACCUAACACAUGAAUGGGGUGGUUAUAUUUUGUCUUGUAUACCUGUGAUUAUUUUUACUAUAUGAUUUCGUUAUGAAGUGAGAUUCACCACACCAGUUAAUUAAAUUAUUUUUAUUUACAUAAAAUUUAUAUUUUUUUAACUUUUACUAUAUGAAUUCGUUAUGAAGUGAGAUUCACCACACCAGUUAAUUAAAUUAUUUUUAUUUAGAUAAAGUUUAUAUUUUGUUAACUAAUAUUAACAAAUUACAGUGUAGAAAUCUUAAAUUGAUUGAUGAAUGAUUUUAUUUUUCAAGUUAUCAUUUAAGAUUUUAAUAUAUUUAAUAGUUCGAAAAUUACAUUUAUUGUUGAAACUUUAAAAAUUAUGAAGAAAUUAUAGUUUCAUUGGCUAAGAAAUGCAGCAUGCCCACUUGGAAUUAUACGUCAUCCAAAUUCCAGGGUAAAUAAUAAUUCCAGCAUUAGAUUAAUUAAUUACACUUUAUUGGUUAUUUUUUUAGAUACAAUUUUAAAGAUGAAGAGAUACAAUCAAGGUGAAAAUAUUUUUAUUAUUUUUUUGGCUUUAGAUUAAUAUUUUUUUUAGUAUUUUUAUAUCAUUUUGAUAUACUAAUGUAAAAUAUAAAUAUUAUUUUAAUGUAUUUCCAAAUAAAAAAAACUUUGAAAAAAAUCAUUACUACAAUAUUAAAUAUUAUCUUAGUCCAUGAUAGUAUACUUGCCUUUCCAAUUUUCAAGAAAACAAAUAAAAAUAAAAUUCAAGACUUGUGUCUGCUUGACAACAUGGUAUAGUAUUGUACAAAUAGAUUGAAGAAAGAGGAGGCCUACGCAUUUAAUUUGGACUUCCUCGUGGAUGCUAUUCCUUCAAAUAUGGACUAAAAUUGUUUUAUAUCACAGCUAGGCAGAUAGCAAAAGUCUAUUAGAGAGAGGGCAGAAAGCCUUAAUUAGGAAAUAACUUCAUAUUCUGGGGGUAGAAACCCCACGAACGCAAUCAAGCAUUGGCUUCAAACAAAGAAGAGGGAGCUUCAGUGCAGUAGGAAACUUCAACAUUCAUUGUGGUCUAUUCAGGAACGUAGUGCAAAUCAUAAUUUUUUAAAAUUUGAAAUUUUAAAAAAUAAAAAUUAUUUUGUUUAUAUUUUCAGAUUGUUUUAAUGUGUUGAUAUCAAAAAUAAUUUUUUAAAAAUAAAAAUAUUAUUUUAAUGCAUUUCUAAACGAAAAACACUUUAAAUCAUAAUCGCUACUAUAAUCCCAAACAUACCCUUAUGAUUUGCUAUCCAAUCAGCACAUCAAUUCUCCAUUAAUACAAAGAUGUUUUUUUUUUUCUUGUCUGGAAAUUAUCAACCAAUAACUUUCUAUCUUUUUUCAAGUUUUUCGGUGAUUUUUUUAUCUCAUAUUCAUGAACUAAAAAAUAAAUAAAAUAAAAUUUUACAUCAAAAUUAAAAAUCAAAAUCAAAAUGCAAAAUGCAAAAGCUUUAGGGACCAAAAUUUUAAAAAACACACCUAGGCUUAUGACCCGGGAUAUUAAAUCGAAAUAACUCUAUAAAAAAACGAAGAAAAUCAUGAAACUCAAGGCCACAUAUCCUAAUAUUGAAGGACAUUGAAAAAAAAGAUAUUUUUUAAAUGACCUGAAAAAAAAUACUAAAAGUUAAUCAAACUAAUUUUUAAAACUCGUGACUUGGGUUGUGAAACCAAGAUCACCUAGAAAACAAAAAUGAAAAAACUUAAAACUAAAAAUAAAAUUGGAUGGUACCAUAAUUAAUGAAAAAAGAAAAAGAGAGGAUAAUAACCCUGGUUCGUAUUUGAAGCUCACAAGUCAUGAAGGUUGGUGUCCGUCCCUUUACAUCAAUGGGACCAUAAUUAAUGGGUAAGUGUAAAGUUGUCAUCUCUCAUGCAAGUGGCUCGCACCAAGUAGGUUGUUAAAAUCGUGAUUUUAACACGGUACGGAAAACAUUACACAAACUCGAAUCGUAAAAACGGAUUGUAAAAUCGUAAAAUCAUAAGGAAUUUUAAAAUACAUUAAAAAAAAAUUUAUGUUCCAAAUAAAAUUUCAUACAUAGUUCAAGCACCUUAAAAAACAUACUUUAAAUAAAAAUUCAUACAUAUUUCAAGCCUUCAAAACUACAGCUAAAGAAGAAGCAAUGAGCCAUAUAGUGAAGCAUAAAGAUUCCCCAAGGGCAUUACAGGCCUCCAAAUCUGCAGAUGGAUCUUAUAGAGUUGGUAACAAAGGAAAGAAAAAUGCUCCUCCUGUCGAUCUCAAGGAGUCUCUUAAAGUUCUUGCUAAACUUCAUGAAGCACCUUGGUAUUAUAAUGAAACUAAAGAGCAUCCAAGAUCAUCAUAUGAAUCAAAAGAUGGAUCUUGGCAUACAAUUCCAAAAGAUGCUGCUCGGUUUUCCUGUGAUGGGUGGGGGAUCAAUCAUUUGUCAUUUGAAUCUCGAGAUACCAUCAAGUCCACCCCAAAACUAAAAGAGCUUCCAAGACUUUCACUGGAUAGUAGAGUAAUUUCAGUGAGUGGAUCCAACAUUGAUUCUAGAUCAAAUUACCUUUCAAAAGAUCUAGAAAGCAUCAGCAACUCAAAUGAAAAGAUCUUUACUCUGCAGCAAUCACUGAAAACUCAGAAACAGCCAGGUUUGAUCAAGAACUCAUUGGUGGAACAUGAUGAUUCCUUCUCGAAAUCAUUGAAAACAAACGAUCCAAACCGACCAAUCCAUAUUCUGAAGUCUCAGAGAAACUCGGUGAAAGAUCCAAUAUCACCCCGGUGGAAGAAUCCAGAUUUGGUCAUGAAACCCAAUUCAAGGCUGCCAAUUGAACCAGCACCAUGGAAGCAGCUGGAUGGAAGUCGAUGUUCUUUGAAACAACCUUUCAAGCCUGAAAAAGUUCCUGGGAAGACACCAAAUUUGUUCCCUUCAGUUUAUCUGUUCCAAGCAGCACAGGACCUUCUACAUGUGCUGGAGCCAAUACGCAGAAAACAAACUCUAACAUCAUAAUAAUUAUGAUCAGGUCACUCAAUUGCAAUCAGCCUCAUCACUCUAUCAUAUGUAUAACCACAAAGUAAUUUCAUUCAAAAUCAACAGAUAGGUCAUCACCGAAACAGAUUAGAGAAAAACAUACUUGUAAGAAAACUCAGGUAUCCCAGAAACUGAAAUCACAUGACUCCUCUUAAAUCCUUCCAGCCACAAGGGCACCCUGUUUCUUCCGGCUUUCACAGGUGACUCUGGAUCAAUGGUCGAGUCAGACAUAACAUUACAUGCAUCUGCACCAUUAGCCCGGAUAGGGAUCUUCGCCGCCCUCCUAGAAUUGCUACUUCCAAUCUGCGACCGUGUAGAGAAGAGAAGAGAAGAGAAGAGAAGAGAGAAGACUGAUAUCGGUGAAGAGAAGAGAAGAGAGCCUUCGAUCUGUUAGAGCCAAUAGGAGCGCGACACGUGGCAACAACAUUGAAUUAAAGUUUCCUGCGGGCAAACUCGUUCAAUCGGUGGUGAAAUCGCGAUUUUAUACGAUUUCACCCAAUUUUAAUGAUUUGACCUAAUUUUACUCAUUUCCGAGUUUUAUAUACGAUUUAGCAUGUAAAACCUAUAUUAACUCGUAAAAACGUACAAUUUUAAUAGUUGAAUCGCGAUUUUAACAACCUUGGCUCGCACCAUUUAAGAGAUCGAAGAGACUCUGUCUAGCCAAAAAGGUCGUACAUUAAUCUAUCCAUUCCAUCAAGUGGCGAAAUAGAACUCCAGGUGUUGAUAUCUAUAAAUGGUCACCAAACAAGUUGAAUGGUUAAAGAAAAAUUAGUUUUAGUUAUCUUCCAUUAGAAAUAUAAUUUUGGCCCCAAGAACUGAUCCAGGUGUUGUUCAUGUCUGAAAGGGAAAAAAAAAAAGCUUAAUGGAAUAUAAAUUUCUGCAGAAUUGGAGAGCUAAGCUCUGUUUAAGCUGUAGCGAAUACUGUCUUAACUCAAGCAUUCAUGAGUUGAACAAACUAGCCUUUCAUUUUUCUGUUGUUCUGCUAUUCCGGACUUUAUGUCUUUAUCUAUGUUAAAAAAACAUUUCAAUUCAAUAAUUUAAAUUAUUACGUGAAGUUUUAAGAUAUAAUUUAUAUUAUUUUUUAAUACACUCUUUUAAGUGAAAGCCAUUUGGGCUUGCAGACUCAUAUUAUCUUAUGCUUAAUUUUUAUCAAAUAAAUAAGAAUGAUGAGAUUCGAACUAGGCUUCCAGACCCAUAUUACCUUAUGCUUAAUUUUUAUCAAAUAAAUAAGGAUGAUAAAAUUCAAACUCGUGACCGCUUGGUCAUUAAAGCUCUAAUACAAUAUCAAAGAACCAUCUCAAUCCAAAAGUUUAAGCUGUUAAGUAAGGUCCCAAUAUAUGAUUUAAAUUAUUCUCUAACACACCCCCUCAAAUGAAAGCAUAUAAUUUAUAUUAUUCUCUAAUACACUUCUUCAAGUGAAAGCCCUUUGAGCUUGCAGACCCAUAUUAUCUUGUACUUAAUUUUUAUCAAAUAAAUAAGGAUGAAGAGAUUCGAACUGGACUUACAGAUCCAUAUUACCUUGUUCUUAAAUUUUAUCAAAUAAAUAAGGAUGAUGAAAUUCGAACUCGUGACGGCUUGAUCAUUAAGGCUUUAAUACCAUAUUAAAGAACUAUAUCAACCCAAAAGUUUAUAUUAUUAGAUAAGGUCUCAAGAUAUGAUUUAAAUUAUUCUCUAAUACACCCUCUCAAAUGAAAGCUCUUUGGACUUGAAACUUAUACAGACCUAUAUUACUUUAUACUUAAUUUUUAUCAAAUAAAUAAAAUUAAUAAAAUUUAAAAUCAUAACCGUUUAGUCAUUAAAACAUUUAUAUUAUUCUAUAACAACUAAAUUUUUUUUUAAACGUAGCCACCCAGUAAUGAGACACCCAACUAGCUAGGGAAACGAUGAACCUCUUUUUGACGGCCUUGUAACCAAGCAGAUUGGAAAAAAUAACCAUGCUCCUAGCCCAAGCCCACCAACAUCACCCCUAGCAGAUUGAAAAAAUGCUCAUAACCAUUUCGGAGAAAACACACCCAGACUAUUAUGAAAGUGGAAAUAAAUGGAUAUUAAUCAUCAAAUAAAUCGUUAGCAGAAACCAAAAAAAAUAAAUAAAAAAUGUUCAUACCACUCCAUCUUAUUGAUGGGAAUGACUUCUGACCUGCAUACAUAUGCAAGGACUCCUGCUAAAAUUAUCUGAUAAAUUAUCAUGAAAAAACUUAAUAAAUCAGAAAAACAAUUAUGAAAUGCUUCGUAAAUUAAAUGAAAUGGAGAAGAAAACUCAGGAAAUAAAUGUUCAAUUCACUUUCAAGCUGACAAUAAAAAAUGAAAGCAUUUCUAUUCAAUAAUAUUUCUUGGCUCACAAAUAAGCUGGCAAGAAUUAUAUGAAAAUCAAAUCUCCCCAAUCACAUGGUCGUAUAAAAUACUUAGCACUCAAAAAGAAAAUUUAUAGGUCAACUCUGUUCAACUGUGCAGGUGGACAACAAAUUUACAAUCCAAGGAAAAAAAUUAGAAAGCAUUCCUCAAACAGGUUGGAAAAGAUACCAGAGAAGAUUAUAAGCAAUAGUAGCAGAAAAUAUAGAGAGCAUUAUUGUGCAGAAAAAUGUGAUAUAAUUACAAGAAAAGCUCAUCCUAACUUCCUUGGCUAUUGCUUAUGAUGGCAGUUUCAGGUUUAGAAACCAAAACUCAUUCAAUAGAAAAUGAAUGUUCAGUUCAUAAUCUCUCAGAGGCAUUUAAUAGAGAAUCUUAGCCUUUCCUCAUUUGAUCUCCUUAGUGCAUACUACUUCAUAAAACUCAUUUAACAGAGUUUCUCAGUUAUUUUCCCAAACCGAGUUGAUAAACAAGAAUUAGCUUUUGAUGAAUUAAGCAAGGUUGGAAAGGGGAAGAGAGCUACAUCUUGUGUUCUUACUUAUCCAUCUCUUAACCACUUCCUAUGGAUAAGCCAAUUAGGGCUUAGCUUAGUGAUUUCAACGAAUUAAAAUAUUUUUAAUUCAAGUUUUGAUAGCUGGAAACAUGGGAUUUGUUUAUAGCCAGUGACUAUAUAUUACCAGACAAAAGAAAUUGAUUGGUUAUGUUUCACUGCUCCCUAACAUGGCAUUUUUAAUUAAAUUAAUAAUAAUAAUAAUAAUAAAUGCUUUUCACUUGCUCUAAAAUCAUAGUUUCUUCUUUGCUUGAUAUAUAUAUAUAUUUUUUAUUAGUAUUUAGAUUUCACAAGGCAACCCACUUCUCUUUUUUUAUUAUUACUCACAGAACCGCUUGUUCUAAACUGCUAGCAGGUUGCCUCUCUGAGUUUGGCUAAGGUUAUUAAUGAGUUUCUUCCCAUGAUGUUAUUGUUUAAUGUAUUAUUUUAAUUUUUAGGGUUUAAAUGAUCCAUUUAUGACCAACCUAAAAAGGUGAAAUUAAGUUGAUCAUCCAGAAUGUAUAUAAAAAAAUCAAAAAUAAAUUUAUUAUAUAUAUAUGCACCUCGCUCGAUAAUUCUUUAUAAUUUUAUUAAUCAAGAAAAUAUGACUUUGCAUGUGCGUCGGACAUGGCGAUAAGAUUUAUGCUGAGGAUAAACAUAAGAUUUGGUGGAAAAAAGAGAUUAACGCGUUUUAAGAGGCAACUUGUACUAUAAUAAUGGAUUUAAAUAGAAAUCAUCGACGGAUUUGAAUACAAGGCAAAACUAAAAUGUUUUAUGCAUUAAAGACGUCACUAAAGAAAACAAUAAGGACCCAAUCGUGAAUUGGUUAUAAGUUGGGGGCUUGUACGAAGCUAGCCCUUAUCCAAACCAAUGAAGCAAGUGGGAUAUAUCCAAUUUGCUAAAGUGGUGGGUGCCUAUGUAGUGCUACGCUGUAUUUUGAUUUAGAAUUCAGCUUAUUGAUUCAAAUGUAUUCAAUAACUUCAAUUAAUUUAAUAAUAUAUAUAUAUAAAUAAAUAAUAAAAAAACCAACAAUGAUUAAUUAGAAAAAAUAAACUUUUGUCAAUAUUAUAAAAAGAUACCCUCUAAUUAUUUUUUAAAAAAUCUUAACGAUCUUAUUUCAUUACAAUAUAAAAAUUCAAUGUAAAUGAGAUAAUUUUAUGAAAUAAAAAAUAAAAAAAUAUAACGUUUAAUUUCUAGAAAAAUAUUAAGUUGAAAAAUAAACUAGAAAAACACAUCAAUUUAAUAAAUAAAAAAACACGACUCAAAUUAGGAUACCAAAUCAUGACCAGGAUAAACCUACGUAUAAAAAAUCAAAUAAAACAAUAGGAAUCAACUCUAAGCAAACUAAAUGAACUCCUAUACUAAAGGCAGAAGGAUUUAGAGCAACAUUCUUCCCGGCAACAAUGCCAGCUUACUACAGAACUCCUCCUGUCCAAUCCACUCAUGAUAGAGAAACAGGGAAAUAGUUGUUUAUUUUAUUGGUAAAGGAACCGAUUCUUAUCAGCUGAAUUUAUGAAGAAUGAGGUACAACAUGAACAAACAUGAAACAAUCCUCAUGAUGUACCACAUGAAACGAAUAAGAUGAAUCUCAAAAUUGUAUCUCCAUUGUAUUUUGAGUUUUCCAAAAUAAUAAUAAAAAAAAUAAUAUAUGUAAAUGUUGUUUUUAAUGAUCAUGAAUCCAUUUAGUUAAAUAACGUUGAGAAAGGGUUUUGAUAGUUAUUGCACACAAACAUGAAAGAGCUUUGUCUUCACGAUUUGACUCCAGAAAUAGUCAUCCGAUUCCAGAUGAAAUAUAUAUUGAUAAAAAUAAUAAAUAAACAGAGCAAUCAAUAAACUAAGAGAAGAAGAAGCUAUAAGGUUUCGAAGAUAACAAUAAAAAUAUGGAGUGUGAAGGCAUCAAGAAAACCUUAUAUCUGAAAUUGCCAGAAAUGGAUGAGGUGUUCCUCUCUAAACGUUACACUUGUCUUCAUCUUCAGUUUCCAACUUCCUCAAGUAUGCUACUUCUUUUCCUUUAACUGUUACUGGAGCUGCACGCCAAACACCAAAUCCAUCGAGACCCGGUUGCUGUAGUACGAGGAUUUGCAGGUGAGGGAGUUUAGGCAAUAUCCCGGUAGGAAACAUCUUCUGACCGCAUGCAUUGAGUCCAGGAUACCUGGGGUUGGAUAGACAUUCCAUGGCUUAAGGAAUCAUUUCUAGUGCAGUACCAUAGAGAUCCAACCUCUAUAGUGCCCUAAGCUUUCUUAAUGAUGGUACAUGUCUUAACAUAUCACAAGCAAUGAGCAAUGAGCAACAAUGCAGAGACUCACCAAAUCGAAGAAAAAAUUAGGCAAAUUUCAUAACUUGGAGCACUUUCCAAUAAGGAGACAUUUUCAAGUUUAUUAAGCAUCGCAUGGCCUUUGUAAACUUCUGCCACCCUACUCUGCCGUUUUAUAACUCCCUCAUCAAUCAAAUAAGCUAUCAAAUCCUCUCUAGUGAAUACAUCCUCGUCCAUAUCAUCUUGCCUAACUCUUGAUUGCCUCAGGUCCUCUAAAGCAUUCCUCCACUCGUUUAUGCCAUCCACCCCCUUCAUGGCUCCAGCCAUUGUUAUAAUUCCUAGCGGAAAACCAUCACACUCCUUUGUGAUAGAUUUUGCAAUUUGUUCCACUUCUGGACAAAGUGUUAUGUCAUGUCCGAGUCUCUUAAUAAACAAAGUCCAAGCCUUUUCCUCCAAAAUAGGCUAAAUAGGCUUCACUUUGAUCAUGUGUAGGGUAUUUAUUUGUUGACAAACCUUUUUUGAUCGAGUUGUAAGAAUAAACUUGCAUCCUUUAACUUUGACAAGAACUCCCAGCUUCUGUAACUCAAUAGUGUUCCACAAAUCAUCUAAAAUCAAAACCCAUUUCUGUAUCUUCAUUAAUUCUUUUCUCAUUUCAACUGCUCCUCGUCUUCAUUAAAAAGAUUUAAACCAAUACAUCUUCCGAUACUGCCCUGCAAUUUUUUAAUGCUGGUAUCUUGUGAAACAGUAAUCCAGUAAACAUGAGAGAAAGUAUCUGGUCUACAUAGAAGCUGAUUAUACACAUGCAUCACCAAAGUUGUCUUCCUCACUCCUAAUAAUAAUAGCUUUUUAAAAGCAACAAUAAAAAUUUGAUAUUCGGGUUAGUGAUUGGAAUCGAUUCAAUAAACUCAAUUAAGUUAAUAUAUAUAUACACACACACACAAUUGAUAAAAAAAAAAACCAAUAAUGACUAAUCAUAAAAAAUAAACGCUCGUCAGUAUUAUAAAAAGAUACCCUCUAAAUAUUUUUUUAAAGGUCUCAACGAUCUCAUUUGAUUAUAGCAUAAAAAUUCAAUGAGAAUGAUAUAUCCUCAGCAAAGCAAAAAUUGAAAAAUAAAUUGGAAAAAAACAACAAUUUCAAAAAAGAAUAAAAAACAUGACUCGAGUUAGGAUGCCAAAUCAUGACCGGGAUAAUCCUGCAUAUAAGAAAUUGAAUAAAACAAUGGAGGUCAACUCUCAAGCAAACUAAAUGAUGAAAGGUAAAACUGAAAAAAAAAAAAAAACAAGUGUCAAUCUGGGUUAAUUCGACUACCUUGUGAUCCAAGAUAUGAGAUCGGAAUAGCCAUAUAAAAAGAAAAGCAAAGAAAAUCAUGAAACUCAAGACCCAAUAACUCAAUAUUGAAGGAUAUUGAAAAAAAUUCAUUUUUUGUAAAUGACUUAAAAAAAAGACUAAAGGUAAAUCAAACUAAUCUUUGAAACUCGUGACUCGGGUCGUGAGACCAAGAUCACCCCACAGAAGGCAACACAAAAAAAAAAUCACGAAGCUAAAUUUCUAAUGAUCAUCUAAUUUUUUUUUAUAAAAAAAAAAUUAAAUGGCAAUCAAAACAUUUAGGAUCAAAUCUAGUGUAAAAACUAAAUGAAAGAAAAUAAUAAGGGACUAAAUCAGAAAAUAAAAUAAAUAAAUAAAUGAUAAAAAAUAAUCAAGAGAAUAAGGAUUAAAUUGAAUAAAAAAUUAAAUAAAAUAAAAAAAAGAGAGAUAUAAUUGAAAAAAAAACUAUAAAAAAAGAAUAAAAAAUAAGAAUAAAAUUGGAUGUACCAUAAUUAAUGUAAAGAAAAGAGAGGAUAAUAACCCUGGUUCGUAUUUGAAGCUCACAAGUCAUGAAGGUUGGUGUCCGUCCCUUUACAUCAAUGGGACCAUAAUUAAUGGGUGAGUGUAAAGUUGUCAUCUCUUAUGCAAGUGGCUCGCACCAUUUAAGAGAUCGAACAGACUCUGUCUAGCCAAAAAGGUCGUUCUUUAAUCUAUCCAUUUCAUCAAGUGGCGAAUAAAUGCUUCUUAAAUUAAAUAAAAUAGAGAAGAAAACUCAUGUAUUAAAUGUUUAAUUCACUUUCGAGCUGACAAUAAAGAAUGAAAGCAUUUCUAUUCAAUAAUAUUUCUUGGCUCACAAAUAAGUUAGCAACAAUUAUACGAGAACCCAAUCACAUGCUCAGCACUCAGAAAGCAAAUUUGCAGAAUAACAAGUCUAGUAAACUUCUUGAUUUAGGGCAACAAGAUAAUAUAAACAAAAUGUAACAGUUGAACUCACUUUCUCUCGAAAAGGAUCCAGAUCCUCUGUCACCAAUAACUCCUGGAUUCCUAUGUCAACUCUGUAUAACUGUGUAGGUGGACAACAAAUUCACAAUCCAAGGAAAAAAAAAUUAGAAAGUAUUCCUCAAACAGGUUGGAAAAGAUACCAGAGGCAAGAAGAUUAUAAGCAAUAAUAGCAGAAAAAUAUGAUAUAAUGACAAGAUAGCUUAUGAUGACAGUUUCAGGUGUAGAAAGUAGAAACCAAAACUCAGCAAACAAAAAAUGAAUGUUCAGUUCAUACUCUCUCAUAGGCAUUGAUUAGUUUACUUUAAUAAUAAAUCAAUAUAGUAUUUGUUUUUGGGAUUUUCAUCUUGGAAAAACUCAAUAGGAUGAAAAUAUAAUAUUAAUCAAACUUCAAAUUAUAAUUAUUUAUCUAUCGAGUUAAAAAAAAAGAUAUGACAAUUCAAUAGUCUUAAUUAAAAAGAUAAUGAAACAAAAAAAAAUGUAAAAUGUUAUUUAUGUAAUUGUAAGCACAUUAUAUAAAAAAGAAGUAUUUCAUAAUAAUAAACGCUCUUUCUUUCUAUGAAUUCAUGUUAGGCUUGAUUCGGCUCUAAAAAAUUAAUUUACUGCUCAGAUUUAAUAUCUAACCAUGUGGCUAAUUUCUAGGAGUUCCUUUUUUGAAAUCCUCAUUCGAGGCUAAUUUGUAGCCCUUCAAGAUACCUUUCCAACGCGUUAAGAAUCACAGCAAUCCUGUGAGUGGAAAGUUAUGAUUAAAAUACUUUUAAGUGUGUGGAGGUUGGUUCAAAGUGAAUUAAUUUGACGACUCCAGCUGGGCCUUGACUUGUCUGUUUAAUUUCUAUUAUUUUUAUUCACAUUUUAGCAUUUUAUUCCAAUGAUCGAAUGCACUUUCAUAGACUCAUCAAAAUCCCAGGAACGCAAUCAAGCUUUAGCUUCAAACAACCAGAGGGAGAUUCAGUGCAGUGGAGAACUUCAACAUCUACUAUGAAGCUUGAUUUGCUAUCCAAUCUGCACACCAGUUUUCAAUUGAUACAAAGAUACUGUAUUUAUUUUUGUUGCCGGAAAGUUGUCGGCCAAUAACUUUUUAUCUUUUCUCAAGUUUUUUUUAUGUGAUUUUUUUUUGCUUUCAUCUGAAACUCGUGAACUAAAAGGUAAAUAAAAUAAAUUUUUUUUUGCUUUCAUCUGAAACUCGUGAAUUAAAAGGUAAAUAAAAUAAAAUUUUAGAAUAAAAUACAAAAUAUAAAAUAUAAGAUGCAAAAAAAUUAUAUGGAUCAAAAUUUAAAAAAUAACGCCUAUGCUACUUUAUAGUUUUAGUAUUAAAUUUGGUUUUAGAAGUUUCACUUAUUUAAAAAAUGUGCUUAUGAAUAUGACAGUUUCAGGUUUAGAAACCAAAACUCAUCUAAUAGAAAGUGUAUGUUCACUUAUACUCUCUCAUAGACAUUUAAUAGAGAAUCUUGGCCUUCCUCAUUUGAUCUACAUCUUGUGCAUAGAAGAAUACUUUCUAGAGCACUGAAAUUUAUGAUGUCUUCAGCUUACAUUUCACCGGUGAUGAAUACUUUUGACUUUUGACUUUUGACUUGUUUACACCGGUGAUGAAUACUUUUGACUUUUGACUUUUGACUUGUUUACGAUGUUUGUUGUGAUUUGGAUCGACCAGAAUUCAAGAAUGUGUCUUCUCUCUCUCUUUUUAAUCUGUAUUAUAUAUAUAUUUUUAAAAUAAUUUAUUGCUAGUUAAUGAUAUAAGAUGAUUUAUAAUAGUGAUUAGAUCUAUUAUUUUAUUAGGUUACUUUAAUGAUAAAUCAAUAUAGUAUUUUAUUUUUAUUUUUUGGAUUUUCAUCUUGGAGAAACUCGAUAAGGAUGAAAAUAUAAUAUUAAUCAAACUUCAAAUUAUAAUUUUUAUCUUGAGUUAAAAAAAAAUAGUCUUUAAUGAAAUAAAAAAAAUGAAAAAUGUUAUUUAUGUAAUUGUAAGCACACUAUAUUAUAUUACUUUACAAAGGGACGAAGGACAUCCUUUGCGUUAGGAUGCUCCCACUCCACUACUGUCUCCCACCAUUCUUUUGGAUAUUGAUUUUUUAAGAGAAGGGGGAGGAGAUGGCUGGCCAUUUUCAAGCAACGGAAGACAAAUUGGCAUCCUCUUCAGCUUCUCACAAUCAUUACAUAAUAUCUUCAAGAGAAUUGCAAAUCAGUUUUGCACUGCAAAUGCUUUUCAGUUCUGGUAAUAUACAAUUCCAGAGUUCUUAACUUUGGGAGAAUGACUUCCGUGAUGGAAUUGGAGGUGCUGCUUUCUUCAUCUGUUGUUCCUAUUAUCUCCUCCAUUUUCUCACAAUCACAUCAAUCCUUUCCAGGUUUACGAGGUUUGGCAACAACACAAGCGGGAACACUUCUUCAUACUUUACAUAACACAAAAAACUCUUUAAGACCAGAAAACGUACCGUUACAUGAUGGCAAUCGUGGUGGAGCAGAGCAGAACCAAGAAGAUGAAACCAAGCUCUCCAUGUUAACACCCGAAUGCUGAUGCGCUCCAGUUCAGUUGCAUUCUCUAAUGACAAAACAUCACAUAAACUUCUUGCAUCGAUGCAUUACAAAUCAGUCCUUGAAUGCCAUUUAAGAACUUGACCUGAAAAUCUCUAUCUCCGUUGAUACUCAAAUUACCCAACCCAACUGUUUUACUUGGAAAAUAUUCAAUGUUGCUCAAUAUCUACCCACCUCUCCUACUAAAAUCUUAUGUGCUUAAUGAUAAUCCCAUCCCGAGAUCUGAGAUACUCCACGAAGUCAGAAAACCUUCGAAAUGGCAUUCCAAAGUUUCCAAAUUUCUCAAGGAUCCUACUUCCUUUCCUUUAACUGUUAUCGGAGCAUAUCUUCCUUCUAGUACAAAGACUUGCAGGUGAGAGAGUUUUGGUAAUAUCCCACUAGGAAACUCCUUUUCACCACAUCCAUUCAUUCUAAGAUACCUCAGGUUGGUUAGGCAUUCCAUUCCUUGCGGCAUCUUUUCAAGCAGUAAGAGAGAUCCAACCUCUUCAGUGCCUGAGCUUCUUUAAUGAUGGAACGUCUUAAUUUCCACUUACUGAGCAAUAAUGCAGUGAGACUCACCAAAUCAGAGACAGAGUCUGGCAAAUUUUCAAUACCUGUGCAAGACAGAUCGAGGACCUUGAGCCCAUGCAAUUGCUUGAAAAAUGAAUCCGCAACAAAUCCCAACCCUUAUUAUCACAUAGAAAUAGAGUUGACAGAUGGACACUUGGUGAAUGGCUGGAAGGAAUUUCUUCGAUCUCGUUUUGCAUUAGUGAAACUCUCGUCAGAUUCUCCGUCCACUCCUCUGCAUCUGGCAACUCUUUUAAUUGCGCACCUGCUUUAACCAUGACUUGAGAGUCUAGCAGUAUUUGGAUGGCCAUGUCCCUAAUCAAGUCAUGCAUCUUGACACUCUACAUACCCAUUUUAGCACUUUCCAAUAGGCAGACAUUCAAGUCUAUUAAGCAUCGUGUGGCCCUCAUCAAAUGCAUCUCCCCUGCUCCUCAUUCCUUUAAUUAUUCCCUCAUCGAUCAAAUAACCUAUUAACUCCAGCCUUUCAAUCCUAUGAUCUUCAGGAAAUAAUGCACAGUACAAGAGACAUUGUUGGAGUGCUAAAUCACCUAGCCGAUCAUAACUAAGCCUCAAUAACUUGAAUACUUUCAUGUCCCUAAAUUCCGAUUCUUUCAAUUUAUUCAAUGUAUUUCUCCACUGAUGGAGGUCAUCCACUCCCCUCAAGCUUCCUGCCACUGUAAUAAUUCCCAACGGCAAACCAGCACAUUCCCUUACAAUAUCUUUCGCAAUUCCUUCCACUUCUGGUGAAAGUGCUAUGUCACGUCCAAGUUUCUCCAUGAACAAAGUCCAAGCUUCUCCUAGAAAGUGGCUUCACUUUGAUUUUGUGCUGGCAAGCCAUCCGAUGACAAACCGUUUCUGAUCGAGUUGUCAUAAUCAGCUUGCAUCCUUUCAACUCAGGAAUUCCCACUUCGUGUAGCUCAAAAUUGUUCCACAAAUCAUCUAAAAUGAGAAUCCAUUUUUGUUUCUUCUUAGUUCUUCUGACAAUUUGGCAGCUCUAUGCAAUCAUCAUCUUCGCUUGAAAGGUCUAGAUGAAGACGUUUAGCAAUAAGAUUCUGCAAUCUAUUAAUGCUGAAAUCUUGAGACACAGUCACCCACCAAACAUGAUCACAAAUAUCUGGUUUUGUAGAAGCUCAUUAUGGAUAUGUUGCAGUAUUGUGUUUUACCAACUCCCCCAUCCCAUAAAUGCCAAUGGUUGAGACUUCAUCCAUUAACAAAGACCAUAUCACCUUCGUAUUCUCUUCGAAUGCUUGACCCACUGGCUUUGUAGAGCUAGUAGGUAAUGGAACUCCUCUAGUCUUGUUGUAUUUCAGACUUUCAGAAGAUCUAGCUCCAGCACCAACCUGCACUGAUCUUCGACUAUUCUCCACUUGUUCUGUCCUCGGUCUGCUCUCGAGUGCCCCUUCGGAAACUCCAUCUUCUUGUGCUCUCAUUCCGGUCAUGCUUACUACGUCGUUUCCUGCUAUUGCAUGUGAAGUAAUCCUCUCUUCCCCUACUCCGGGUUCUACAACCUGAACUUCUCUUUGUACCCUUCCAAUUCCUCCUUCCAUAUUUUCAAUCUCAAUGUUUUGUUCUUGUGGACAAGUUGAAAUUCCCAAAUCAUUAACAUUGACUGAACUUGCUGUGCUUUUAUGUCUUUUGUUGCCACCACACAUAGCUAGAAAGGCUGCUUCUUGAACUUCUGUAGUCACCCCAGGACAAAUGGUAACAUUAUGCCCUCUCUCUCUUGAUAAAUGCCAUUUGAUCCUCGAAAUGGAAGUAUCCUUGGCAUAUGUAUGUGGACAAAAUUUACACUUCAUCCUACCAUCAGCCCUAUAUUCAACAUAAUUCCAAAACGGAUCAUUUGAUCCAACCGUUUCGACCUACAGAAAAAAAGGGGGGGUCAAAAUAUAGAAUAAAAAUCAGUCAAAAUAAAGAAUAAAAAUCCUAUCUGGAUGGAUGAGAAACUACUUCAGUUCUGUUACCCCUAUUUUGCUAUUAAAAUUGAUAGUUAGUUUAUAGCACAAUCAUAGGGGGAAAAAAGACGACAAUAAUUCAGUUAGACUUCUUACUUGUUGAGUAUUUAAACCCCUAUUUUGACUUUGCAAGGAAGUGUCAGGGCCAGGAUUUGAGGCAUUUGGCGUAGCAGUUUGAUUUUGCAAUCCUCGGACUUGGAGGUUAUCCAUCUGUGACCUAUAUAUAAAUGAAGUGAUCAUAUUAUAAAACCUUUCCAUAAUUGGUAGUCUCUCUUAAGCAGUAAAAGUUAAUGGUAUUAAAACACAACAGCUGGAAGUCAAUCAGUACCUAGGCACGAAGUUCUCUUGUUGCACUUGUCUAUGUUAGGAAUUACAGCAGCUUGAUCGACUUGUCCUUGAUUAGAAAAAUAUUGACUCCUGAAUCCAAAUCAUUUGCAAACAAUAUGUUUAGUUGUUUGGUUCAUGUUCAAGCUUGAUGUUUCUUUCCUGAUUGAAAAACUAACUUUUUUAUAUAGAAAAUACUAAACAAGAAAAUUGGAGCAGGAAAAGAAGGUCCAAAUGAGUAUUGGAGCACUGAUGCCUGAAUAUUAAUAUUCAUAGUUAAACUUAGAACUGUUAUUCUAACUUGGUUGAUUUUCUAGCCAUUAUGUGCACACAAAAAGAGAGAGAGAGAGAGCUCAAAAAGACUUGAAAGAUCCUCGUCAAUUUUGGUCAAGUUUGUUGUUUUCAUGAUUAAAAAAGUGUAUAUUCGAGGUUAAUACCAUCGAUUCAUCGCAGGCACAUGAUUGCUCAUAAUUGGUAACUGAUAAUCAGUCCAUUGUUGGUCCCUAAAUUAGCAACAUUUGUUAGUGAUUUCUUUAUACAUAUGCAUAAUUCUUUGCUAUUAAUCCACUAAGCAUUUGAUAUCAUUUUAGCUUACCUCAAAGGCAUUGAUGGUCCAGGCAGCAUGGGAUUGACACAUUGAGGAUCACGUAAAUUAGGAUUAGGCUGAUACCUAUAUUCAAACAUAAUGAAUUCACUGAUAAGUACAACAACAAGAGGAAGAAGAAGAAGAAGUUAAAUAAUGAUUGAAAAACUUUUUUUUUAAAACAGAAAAUACUAAAAAUGAAAAAUUGGAUACCGGGGAGGAGGAAAAGAAGGUCCAUGUUGAUUGAAGCCACCAUGUUGUGAAGUGGUUGCGUUCGGUGUCAUAUAGCCAUGUCCCGGCUGAGGUUGAUGAAUAAAGGAAUUAUGAUGCCUUGAUGGAGUUUGAGGCCAAUUUGGUUCAUUUUGAUUGAUCCAUGAUGAUGAUGUUCCAUCCAAACCUCCCAUUGUUGUCUGUUUGUUUAACAAUAAACAAUUAGAAGAUGCUCGAGAUAAAUCGAUACACUAAACUUUUUGUAUAACACAAACACUUGCUAAUUCAAUAAACAUUGUAGCAAAUUGGAGUAAGCAUGAGUACUCACCAUGGUUUCAGGAAAUGAAGUUGGAAACUGAGUUGUACUAUCGUUGAUCACAUUGUUCCAUCCAAACCUCCCUUGAUCAUUGCCUUGGUUGACUGGAACCUCCGAUGCCGGCCUGCUUCCAUGGAAUAAUAGGAUAAACUGAAGAAUAACUAAAUUGCAAGCAAUCAUCUUCUGAUAAAAUAUGCUUAAGAAUGACGUACGAGAGAAGCUCAGAUAUAUUGAAUGUAUCAUCUUCUGAUUGAAAAUCCAGCUGAUCCCAUGUCAUGUUGUCAACCUCCUCCAUAGAAGAUGGUUGGAACCCUUCCAUCUGACCAGAAAAGAUCAGAAAAGACAAAAAAAACUGGGGUCUAAAAAGAACAGAAAGCACAGAUCAGAAAAGAAUAUAUAUAUCCCAUUGUUGUCUGUUUGUUUAACAAUAAACAUUUUGAAGAUGCUCGAGAUAAAUUGAUACACGAAAACAUAAAACUUUUUGAUCCAAUGGGUGAUACAAACACUUGCUAAUUCAAUGGACAUUGUAGCAAAUUGGAGUAGGCAUGAGCACUCACCAUGGUUUGAGGAAAUGAAGGUGGAAACAGAGUUGUUUGUUGAAGACUAUCGUUGAUCACAUUGUUAUCCACCACCAUGUUCUGUCCAUCUUGAUCAUUGCAUAAUAUGGAGCUUUGGUUGCCUGAAACCUCCGGUGGCGACCUGCUUCCAUAGUCAGUAACAUUAUUGUUUCUUGGGAAUAAUAGGAUAAACUGAAGAAUAACUAAAUUGCAAGCAAUCGUCUUCUGAUAAAAUAUGCUUAAGAAUGACGUACAAGAGAAGCUCAGACAUGAAUGCAUCUUCUAGUGAUUGAAGAUCGAACGGAUUCGAUGUCACGUUGACAUCAUCCUCCAUAGAAGAUUGUGGGAACCCUUCCAUCUGACCUCAAGUACAAGACGAUUAGUAUGUACUGAGGUGGAAAAAGAACAGAAAGCUCAUAUCAGAAAAGAAUAUAUAUAUUAAAAAAAUAAUUAUGACUUGAUUAUUUGUUAAAGAAAUAAGGAUGAAAAAUAGGAAAUAUAAAUGUUGUUGUUAAUGAUUUAACCCUUUGUAUUUAAAGCUAAAUUAUCAUACUCAAAUUCUAUCCUAAAACUCUAGAAUGAUAGAUAGAAAGAUGCAGAAGAGGAUAACUGUUGAAGAAAGCAGGAGAAGGAAGGUAGAAGAGCUGAUUGUUUUGACGGGGUAAACAAAAACCUCUUUCAAGUUUCAAGUCCUAUUUAUUCAUAAUUUGGGGAGCAAAACAAAUGCAAGAUUAUUUUUGUUAACUACAAAAAUCAAUUCCCUCUAUUUUAACCCUUAGUUACACUUUAUAAAACACACACAAAAAUAAUAAUAGGAUAUUGUUAAUUCAUUGAAUCAUUGUAAGAAAAAAAAAAGUUGAAAAAUAUUGAAAAAAAAUAAAUGGCAGUCCCAUUAAUUGGAAAAGAAAAGGGUGAAUCUAAAAGGAAGAGUUAAAAACAGCAAAGAAUCUUGAAAAGACGAAAACAAUGAAUUCAGUAUUAAUUUAGUAUGAACACCACAAGGCAUGGAUUAUGAAAUCCGCGAAAAAGAUCGAUUAAUUUAUCAUGGAUUACUUUAAAGAUUCAGACAAGAUGAAUGACAAAUAAUUUACCUGGAUUCAAGAUGUUCUUCAAGUGCUAGCUGGUUUGCUUGAGCAGUGAUCAGCCAAAAGAAAAGGAAGAGAAAUCACAGAUCACAGAAGAAUAUAUGGUUUAGAAAAAUAAUAAAGUUGCAGCAUAAAUAAAUCUAGUUCGCACUGAUCAUGAGAUGGGGAAAGGAAAAUAGGGAAUUCUACAAUGAGAUGAGAUGUGGGAGAGAAUGUUACAGCAGCAAGGUCGCCUCAAUAAUAAUAAUUAAUUAACGUAUUGUUUGAUAGGAAGGAAGUUGCCAGGAAGAUACAGAAAGUUAACGUGUGGACCCGCCCCAAUGUUGACACUUCGAAGAAGCUGCCAAGAAAAUGUAAACACAUGAAAUUUUCAAAAAAAAUGGUAUAUUUAUAAUUUAUUCAUGCUGUAAAUUUUUUAAAAAAUAUAUUUUUUAUUUAGAAAUACAUUAAAAUAAUAUUUUUUAUUUUUUUAUUUUUUAUAUCAUAAUAUCAAAAUAAUUAAAAAAAAAUCAAAAUUUUUAAGUUUACUUGACCAUGAAAUUUGCACAGCUAGGCAGAUAGCAGAAGGCUAGUGGAACCACUGCUGGGCUAGAAAAUGAAUGUUGCCGUUUUUCAGUUUACUAGAGAGAGGGCAGAAAGCCUUAAUUAGAAAAUAACUUCAUAUUCUUGGGGUAGAAACUCCACGAACGCAAUUAAGCAUUUGCUUCAAACAAAAAAGAGGGAGCUUCAGUGCAGUAGGAAACUUCAACAUCUAUUAUAAAAAUUGUGUUUGUUAAGGCUGUGUAAAUUAUAUAUUUAUUAAAUUUUAUUUUUUUAUUAAAAAUUAUUAUUAUGUUUUUAGAUCAUUUUGACGUGUUAUAUCAAUAAAAAAAAUAAAAAAAUAUUAUUUUAAUAUAUUUCUAAGUAAAAAAUACUUUAAACUAUAACCGCUACCACAAUCACAAACAUACUUUUAUGAUUUGCUAUCCAGUCUGCACAUGAUUUUUCUAUUAAUAAAAAGAUCGUGUUUUUUGGUUGUUGAAAAAUUAUCAAUCAAUAACUUUUUAUCCUUUUCCAAGCUUUUUAGUGAUUUUUUUAAUCUCAAAUUCAUGAACUAAAAAGGUAGUAGCGUGAAGCCUCGCCAAAAGCCCAAGCCCACCAACAUCACCCCCAGCAGAUUGGAAAAAUGCUCAUUACCAUUCCGGAAAAACACACCUUCGCUACUAUGGUAUACUAGAAAGUGGAAAUAAAUCGAUAUUAAUCAUCAAAUAAAUCGUUAGCAUAAACCAAAAAUAAAUAAAUAAAUUGUUCAUGCUACUCCAUCUUAUUGAUGGGAAUGGCUUUUGACCAGCAUACAUACGACUCUGCUAAAAUUAUCUGACAAAUUAUCAGGCUUAUAAAAAAACUUAAUAAAAUCAGGAAAAAAAAUCAUUUUUAUUCAAUAAAAUGGAGAAGAAAACUCAAGUAAUAAAUGUUCAAUUCAUUUUUUGGCCCAGAGGUUUUACAGUUCCAUUGAGGAAAAAAAAGAAAAAAUCAAUAUAGUAUUUUCAGGUUAUGCUACUUUCUAGUUUCAGUAUUAAAUUUAGUAUUUUCAGGUUUAGAAACCAAAACUGCCAUAUUCAUACUCUCUCUUAAACACUUUAAAAAUGUGUGUAGAUUUAUAAUAGUGAAUGGAUUUAUUAUUUUAUUAGGUUAUUUUAAUGAUAAAUCAAUAUAGUAUUUUUUUAUUUUUUGGAUUUUCAUCUUGGAGAAACUCGAUAAGGAUGAAAAUAUAAUAUUAAUCAAACUUCAAAUUAUAAUUAUUUAUCUAUCCAGUUAAAAAAAAGGUACAAAGGGACGAAGGAUUAUUUCAAUAUUAACUAAUAAGAAUAUCCUUGUUGAUUUAAAGGACUAUUUUCAUCAAUCAUAUCGAAAAUGUUUGAAAGAAUUGAAUAUUAUUGAAUACGAGCAAAUUUAAGGUUACAAUCAAUUAGCCUUGAAAAUUGAAAAACUCUACAAAGGGACGAAGGACUUCCUUUGCAUCAGGAUGCUCCCACUCCACUACUCUCUCCCACCAGUCUUCUUGAUAUGCCUUGAUUUCUUUAAGAGAAGGGGGAGGGGAUGGCUGCCCAUUUUCAAGCAACGGAAGACAAAUUGGCAUCCUCUUCAGCUUCUCACAAGCCAUUACACUAAUAUCUUCAAGAGAAUUGCAAAUCAGUUUUGCACUGCAAAUGCUUUUCAGUUCUGGUAACAAAUACAAUUGCAGAGUUAUUAACUUUGGGAGAAUGACUUCCGGGAUGGAAUGGGAGGUGCUGCUUUCUUCAUCUGUUGUUCCUAUUAUCUCCUCCAUUUUCUCACAAUCAUUAACUUCAAUCCUUUCCAGGUUUACGAGGUUUGGCAGCAACACAAGCGGGAACAACUUCUUCAUACUUUUACAGUCAAAACAAUAAAACUCUUUAAGACCAGAAAACGUACCGUUACAUGAUGGCAAUCGUGGUGGAGCAGAGAAGAACCAAGAAGAUGAAACCAAGCUCUCCAUUUUAAAAAUCACGCCUAUGCUACUUUCUAGUUUUAGUAUUAAAUUUAGUAUUUAAAAAAUAUGUUUAUGAAUAUGGCAAUUUCAGGUUUAGAAACCAAAACUGCCAUAUUCAUACUCUCUUGGACAUUUUAAAAAUGUGUGUAGAAGAAUACUUUCAAUGAUGAUUUAUAAUAUUAAGUUACUUUAAUGAUAAAUCAAUAUAGUAUUUUUUUUUAUUUUUUGGAUUUUCAUCUUGGAGAAACUCAAUAGGAUGAAAAUAUAAUAUUAAUCAAACUUCAAAUUAUAAUUGUUAAUCUAUCGAGUUAAAAAAAAUAUGACAAUUCAGUAGUCUUUAAUGAAAUAAAAAAAAUGAAAAAUGUUAUUUAUGUAAUUGUAAGCAUACUAUAUUAUAUUAGUUUACAAAGGGACGAAGGACAUCCUUUGCGUUAGGAUGCUCCCACUCCACUACUGACUCCCACCAUUUUUUUGGAUAUACAAAGAUUUCUUUAAGAGAAGGGGGAGGAGAUGGCUGGCCGUUUUCAAGCAACGGAAGAUAAAUUGGCAUCCUCUUCAGCUUCUCACAACUUUCCUACCAAAGAUUAUAUUACAAGAGACAACAAGUUGCUGUACACCUCUAUUUCGCUUUUCUUUUGUCUAGCGCUGCAUAUAAUUAAAAUCUUCAACAAAAGAAUCAAAAGCUAAAAAUUAUUUUAAAAAAAAACAUUUUCUGACAAUAAUGCCAAACACUUUAACUCGUGGACCCACCCCAUUGUUGAAACUUUGAAAAAGCUGACCUGAAAAUGUAAAAGAGCCUGAAGCUUAGCUUCAAGAGCUGUAAGUACUAUGCUAGGAAUGAUGCAUCGCACUCCUCCCCCAUCAAUGUCAUUAUCUGAUCCACUCCAACUUCCAUUCCCUAAAAAUUUAACGAAGAAUAGCAUUAGCAAUAAAAAUAGUGCUUAGGGGUACUGAAACAACCGUUAAACCUAUGGUUGGAAAUAGAACUCAGGACUCAAAACCUACAGUACUUUGAGAAUUUGUACACGUUAAACGUUUAUAAGAAAAAAAUGUGGAGUCCAUUGAAAUAAAACCACAACUACCUUGAAUAUCUACACAAGUUUUUCCUAAUAAGAAUUCUGGUAGAAAGCCUUGAAUAUGUACAAAAAAAAUUGCUAAUAAGAAUCAUAGUAUUCUAGAUGAUAAUACCUAUUUGUAAAGUCCAUACAUAUUCCUUAUCUCAAAUUAAUUAUGACAUGGUAACAUCAUGAUUGAUGAAUUUUUGAGUCGAGUUGUAUUUGCUGCGUGUUUUUCCUACUAGUUAAGGUUUUUGUUACGAUGAUGUUCUUAACAUCAAAAGGAUUUUUUACUAUAUAUCCACGAAUGAUACAAAAAUCUAUAGUUUUUUAUAAAAUGAAUUCCUGAACCUAGUCGAAAAACCGUGGAAAAAACAGUUUAAGGAUUCCAACCUAACACAUGAAUGAGGAGAGGCUAGUGAUGAUGGAUCAUAUUCCAUAACUUUAAUCAUGUCGGAAUCGGAAUUAAAGUUAGCUAGCUAACCUCUGUGGCCCCCGAUCGAAUGCUGAAAGUUUCUGCUUCCAUUUUCCAAAGGGGAAAGGGUGCAGCAAGCGAUCACAAACCAACCAGAUGUAUAAAACGAAACAACUGAUCUUCAUUGUAUUUUAUUAUAUACAAUCAUUGACCUUUGAUUUAUAUUUAUAUAUAUUUUUUAAUAUUACAAAAUAUUUUAACAACACUUACAUGUUUAUUCUUUAGUGUUAAGAAAAUUAAAUGUAUACAAAAUGUGGUUCAAAUAAUUCAAAUUGUAUUUACAUAGUUAAAUGUUUUUCUCUUUUAUAAAUCCAUUGUUGGAUUUGAAAUUUAUAGCUUAUUUUAUAACUCAAAAUAAAGAUUUGGUUUGGUUUUUAAGUUUUUUAUUUUUAUAAAAUUAGUUGAAAAAGAGUCAAUCGGGUAAUGUCGGCUUGGCUCGAAUCUGCAAAAUCAAAGACACAAAUGAAUAAUAAAUUUCAAUAUUCAUAGUUGAAGACCAAUGGAGAAAAAUCUAACUCUGACCUCAAGCAUGUUUGGAAACGCAAUACAAAUCGUGUUUCAUCAUAAUUUAAUUUUGUUUGCUUAAGAUUAUUUUUUUUAUGUUUUAAAAUUAUUUUAAUGUGUUGAUGUCAAAAUAAUUUAAAAUAAUAUUAUUUUAAUAUAUUUUUAAAUAAAAAAAUUUUAAACCACAACCGUUAUCAUGCACAUCCUAAUCCUGAAUCCUGAUACUUUUUACAGAACUCUUAAUUUUCAAGAGAGCCUUAACCAUUCCUUUAUGCAAGUGUACGCUUUGCCAAACAAUCCUUUAGGAAAAUGGGUUGCCCUCCCUCCGACGACUUGCGAUAACAGGCCAGGACUAAUUUUGACUCUUCGUUGCAAGUAAUUUUAAUAUUAAUUAAUAAAAAUAUCCUUGUUGAUUUAAAGGACUACUUUCAUCAUUCAUAAAAGAAUAAUAAUUUAAAAAGAAAAAAAAUUCAAAGUUUUUGAAAAACGUGUGCUUUAACAAUGUUUUUAAAUAUUAGAUAUGUGAUUAAUUAAGAGCACGUGAUUGCUUUUGUUUUUAGUUGUUUUUUAAAAAAGAUAAAUAUAUUUUUUUAAUGCUUUUUUUAUAAUUUAAAUAUAUUGAUAUUAAAAAUAAAAUAAAUAAAUUUUAAAAAAUAAAAAACAAUUAUUGAACAUGAAGCGAAUCUGAUUACGUUACAAUUACUAAUAGGAAAAAAAUUAGAAGACAAAUUAAAGGUUUUCAAUUGUUGCCGUUACCAAUCUGUUGCUGAUUAGAGGCACACGCAGUCAAAGACUCCAUCCUUACUUUUAAUGAACAAAACCUAGUGCUAGUUUUGGUGGCUAGUGUUUUUCCGUGCUGGAUUAAUUUUUUAAAAAUAUUAAACCAGUAAAUUAAUAUACUUGAGUUAUUAUAAUAAACCUGUAAAUUACAUUACUCUUAUAAAAAAAUAUAAUAAAAAUAAAUAAAUUACAAAGUUGAAUUUUAAAUCAGCCCACAAAUGAAAUAAAUAAAUAAAUAAGACAUUGAAUUACUUAUUAUAAUUUACAAUGAAAUAAGUGUGAAUAAAUAGUAGUUCUCCUAAGUCUCUUAGCUAUUCUUUUAAUGAAAAUUAAUAACUGUAUAAUAACUUCCUUGUGGAUGCUCUAUCGUUGCUAAAUUAAAACAUUUUUUUUUAUUUACAACUAUGUGAAACUUUUUUAAAAUAAAAAUAUUUUAAAAGAUAAUAUUUUAAAAAAUAUUAUUAUUUUAGUUUAAUUUUUUUAUAUAAAAAAAAUACCAUCAUUUUAGUUUUUAUAAAUAAAUAAUAUGAUGUGGUUUUGUUUUUUACCCAGGUUAAUCAUUUAAUAUGUGAGUCAACCAGUGCGUCUCUUAGCUAUUCGUUAGUAGUUAAAAUAUUUUUUUAUUUUUAAUAUUAAUAUAUUAAAAAAUAUUAAAUAAAUAUUUUUUUUAAAUAAAUAGAUUUUUAAAUGUACUCAAACAUAAUUCUAAGUACAAAAAUAAAUUAUAUUUUGAUUGCAAGCAUAACAAUCUUGGCUGUGCCGUUGUUGUUUGGACUUUGAGAAUGAUAAAACAAAAGAGUUGGAAUAAUUGGAAAUCUGAACAAUUUGGGUACCCUUCACUGUAUUAGCCAUUCCUUUCCUUGCCUGCUCUCCUUCUUUUCUUUUUUUUCUUUUCUUUUUUCUCUGGCGCAAUUGCCAAAAAAUACCCCUUUUUCUAAAGGAGGCAGCCCUCCUUUUUCAUCACGUCUCCAUGAUCCCACACGUUUUCAUCAAAACUUAAAUUAUAGGACUUCUUAGGCAGCCACGUACAUGCUUUAGGAGUUUUUUUUUCGAAAUCCUAAUUAGAGGCUAAUUUGUAGCCCUUUAAGAUACCUUUCCAACGCGUCAUGAAUCACAGCAAUUUAAUAUGUGAGUAGAAAGUUGUGCUUUAGUGUAUCCAGGUUUUAGUGUAUCCAGGCUGGUUCCAAGUGAAUUUCACGGCUCCUUUGAAUUUGAUUGGGUCUUGAGUUGCUCUUCUAUAAACUCUGAAAUCAAAUAUAAAAACCUGUUUAAGAAUAUAUCAAAGUAAAUAGAAAUUCAAUUAAAAAAUACACAUUAAUGUCUAUUAUUUGUAUUCACAUUUUAGCAUUUUAUUUCAAUAAUAGAGCAUUUAAGGGUGCUUAGAGUGCAAUAUCAAUUAUUUUUUAAAAUAUAUUUUUUAAUGAAUACAUUAAAAUAAUAUUUUAUUAUUAUUUUAAAAAAAUAUUUUUAAUAUCAACACAACAAAACAAUUUAAAAACACAAAAGAGUUAAAAGACAUCUACCUUGUUUUCUCUGUUGGUACAUCGUAAGAUUCUGAGCAUAUUUAUUUAUUUUUAUUUUUAUUUUUAUUUUUAUUUUAAUAAUAGUCCUGUUAUUUCUACCGUCAGGAAAUCAAAAGAUUCUGAAGUCCAUAUUUAGAUAAAUUAGCAGAAAAGACAAAAAUCCUAUAAACUAGCACAAUAAAAUCAUACACAGAGAAGCAAAAGCCAGAAACAAGCUACCUCAAUUCCUGCUCCACCUGGCUAAGAAAUGCAGCGUGCCCACUUGGAAUUAUGCAUCGUCCAAAUUCCAGGGCAAAUAAUUGGUUGGAAUUGUUUUCUGAGGAGUCAUCUCAAAAUUGAAAAAUAAAAACAGAAAAUAGAUCUUCAACACAAUCAUGCUUUUUAUUUAUUAUAAAUAUAAAAUAAAGUUGAAGUGAAGUUGGGUCCAAUCUUUAAAUGGUCCAGACAUUAUUGUUAGAAUGCGACAGUCCAAUCUUAAAGGUUUUCAACACAAUCAUGCUUUUUUCCUUGUAGCAUGUGCCAUGUCUCAAGCUUCUGUCAUCCAGGAAUCAGGCUAUUGGGGUUUGAUUAAAUUAUCUGUUACUAAAAAUAAAAUAAAAUCCUCUGUAAGGUAAAGGUAAUUAAUUACUCAAUUAAUCCCUAAUUAAAUUAGUUUUCAGAUUGUUUUUCACAAAAUUUCUAAGAAUAAAAAUAUUUUAUUAGAUGUCUUAGCUGAAUUCUAAACCAGCCUAUAAUCAAAUAAACAAAAACAAUUUUUUUUUUUAAAAAGGGCAAAACAUCUUCCUUGUGGAUGCUCUAUGGUUGCUAAAUUAAAACUUUUUUUUUAUCUACAACAUGAAACUUUUUUAAAAUAAAAAUAUUUAAAAAGUUAAUAUUAAAAAAAAACAUUAUUAUUUUAGUUUUUAUAAAUAAAUAAUAUGAUGGGGUUAAUCAAUUAAUUUGUGAGUCAACCGGUAAACUAUACUUUGAAAUACGUCUCUUAACUAUUUGUAAGCUUUCCAUUCAUUCCUAGUUAAAUAUUUGUUUUCCUCUUUAAAAUAUAUAUUUUUUUAAUAUUAAAAUAUUAAAAAUAUUAAUUUAAUAUAUUUUUUUAAAUAAUUUUUUUUUAAAUGCACUCAAAUAUAAUUCUGAGUACAAAAACAAAUUAUGUUUUGAUUGCGGGCAUAACAAUCUUGGUAGUAAGUACCAUGAUUCUUUCCAAUUGAGUCAAAUUUAGGACUUUUUUUGGCAGCUACGUACAUGUUUUAGGAGUUCUUUUUAUUAAAUCAAUAUUAUAGUAAAAAUAAAUAAAUCAAUACAGAUAAAUAAAUGAACUAAAUAUAAUCAAACAAUUAAUCCAUUUAACAGAAAAAACAUUACUGAAGCCAUAAACUACAUUAAUCUCUUUUCUUUUCUUGUUUUUUUUUUUUACUUUUCUAGUGUAAUUUCCUCAUUUCUUAGCUUGUUUGGCAGUGUAGUUACUGUUACUUUUUAAAUAACUUUUCGUCCCAAAAUACAUGUAAAAAAAAAAUUUAUUUUUGACAUCAGCACAUCAAAGUGAUUUAAAAAUAUAUUAAUUUAAAGUUAAUAAAUAAAUAAAAUAUUUUUUUCAAAAAUAUUUUUAAAAUAAAAAAAAUAUAGACCCAUGUCUCCAUGGUACCCGUGUCCCACACGUUUUCAUCAAAAACUUAAAUUUUGAGGACUUCUUUCGCAGCCACGUAGAUGCUUUAGUUCUUCUUCUUAUUUGAAAUCUUCAUAGGACUAUUUUUUAAGCCGGGUAACCAAUAUAUGAAUACUGCAGUGGUGAUGAUUUAAAUUAUUUUUUAUUUAAAAAUAUAUUAAAAUAUUUUUUUAUUUUUAAUAUUAAUAUAUCAAAAUAAUCUAAAACUAUAAAAAAAUAUUUAAAAUAAAUCAAAUUUUUUUAAAAAACAAGGGUUCCCAAACAAGAUAACUUGAGUGCAUCCAGGUUAUUUUAAAAAAAAAAAUAAUUCUUAAUUUCAGAGUGAUUUUCACGGUAUGGAAAGGAAUAUGAUUAUUGUUAUUUUUAAAAUUUUUAAUGUUUUUUUAUUUAAAAAUAUAAUAAAAUAAUACAUUUUCAUAUAGAAUAACUCAAAAAUUAAGACCAAGAGUUCAAUCUUCACAAACUUUUAUAUGUAUUAAGGCAGAGAUUUGUGUAAUUAGAUUUAUCAAGUUUACUUAAUUAAGAUGGAAUGUUUAUGACUAUAUACUUAUCAUGAUAAACUUUUAUUGAUAUUUCUAUUUUUAUUGACAGUAUAUGGUGUGCGUUUAUUUAAGAGGUACAUCAGUCAAUGAGUUUGGAGUACAAUGAACGCCAUACCCCUUUCUUUCAAAAAAAAUUAUGACAAUUCAAUAGUCUUUAAUGAAAUAAAAAAAAUAAAAUAUGUUAUUUAUGUAAUUGUAAGCACACUAUAUUAUAUUACCUUACAAAAAAACGAAGGACAUCCUUUGCAUAAGGAUGUCCCACUCCAUUACUGACUCCCAUCAUUCUUUUGGAUAUCCAAAGAUAUGUUCAAGAGAAGGGUGAGAAGAUAGUUGGCCAUUUUCAAGCAACGGCAGACAAAUUGGCAUCCUCUUCAGGUUCUCACAAUUCGAUACAUAAAUAUAUUUAAGAGAAUUGCAAAUCAAUUUUACAUUGCAAAUGCUUUUCAAUUCUGGUAAAUGAGACAAUCUCAGAUAUCUUAACUUUGCGAGAAUGACUUCCGUGAUGGAAUUGGAGGUGCUGCUUUCUUCAUCUGUUGUUCCUAUUAUCUCCUCCAUUUUCUCACAGUUAAUAAUAGUAAUCUCUUCCAGGUUUACAAGGUUUGGCAGCAACACAAGUGGAAACAACUUCUUCAUACUCCUACAAUCACGGCAAUAGAACUUUUUAAGACCAGAAAACAUACCAUUAUAUGAUGGCAAUGGUGGUGGUGCAGAGCAGAACCAAGAAGAUGAAACCAAGCUCUCCAUGCUAUCGCAAUCGCCAAUUUCGAUGAGCUCCAGUUCAAUUGCAUUCUCUAAUGACAAAACAUCACAUAAACUUCUUGCAUCGAUGCUUUCACAAACCAGUCCUUGAAUGCCACUUAAGAACAUGACUUGAAAAUCUCCAUCUCUGCUGAUACUCAAAUUACCUAACCCAACUGUUUUACUUGGAAAAUCAUUGUUUGGCCAAAAAUCUUCACCCACCUCUCCUACUAAAAAUUUAUAUGUGCUUAAUGAUUGAAUCCCAUCUCGAGAUCUGAGAUACUCCACGAAGUCAGGGAGACCUUCGAAAUGGCAUUCCAAAGUUUCUAAAUUUCUGAAGGAUCCUACUUCCUUUCCUUUAACUGUUAUCGGAGCAUAUCUUUGAUCAGGUAACGUUUCCUCUAGUACAAAGACUUGCAGGUGAGAGAGUUUUGGUAAUAUCCCACUAGGAAACUCCUUUUCACCACAUCCAUUCAUUCUAAGAUACCUCAGGUUGGUUAGGCAUUCCAUUCCUUGUGGCAUCUUUUCAAGUGUAGUGCAAGAGAGAUCCAACCUUCUCAGUUCUCUAAGCUUCUUUAAUGAUGGAACAUGUUUUAAUUCAUCACAAUAACUGAGCAAUAAUGCAGUGAGACUCACCAAAUCAAAGACAGAGUCUGGCAAAUUUUCAAUGCGUGUCCCAGACAGAUCGAGGACCUUGAGCCUAUGCAUUUGCUUGAAAAAUGAAUCCGCAACAAAUCUCAACUCGUCAUUAUCAUGCAGAAAUAGAGUUGAUAGAUAGGGACACCUUGGUGAAUAGCUGGAAGGAAUUUCUUCGAUCUUGUUUUGCAUUAGUGAGACUCUUGUGAGAUUCUCCGUCCACUCCUCUAUCAAUAUAUUCUCCUUUAUUUCAUUUCUUUAAUAGCUGUCAGUGUUGUCAGUAUAUUCUUCUUUUCUUAUUCUAUUUCUUUCAUAGCUGUCACUAUAUCCUUCUUUCUUUGUUUAAUUUCUGUUAUAGCUGUAUAUCCCUUGAUUCUCUCUAAAGAUCUACAUUAUUGUCUAGGCCUAGUAUUAAAGUAUCUGAUUAUGUUUAUUAGAUCCUAGAAUUAAGGGAUUUGAUACUUCUUGAUGUAUAUAUAUAUUGUAACUCUCUUAGUGAAAGAUACAGAAAACAUUUCAGAAUUUCUCUUGUAUUAUCUUGUAAUGGUAUCAGAGCCAAAAUUCUGAAAUCAAUUCAUCUUGUGUCUCGUUCCUUGUCUGGUUCUUCUAUUCUGUUUUUUUUCUUGGACUUGAUCUUUUGGUUCUUGUUUCUAGUUAAAUCAUGUCUCUAGAACGAUCUGAACAUUUUCUUGUUCGAUUUACUGGAAAGAACUAUUCUGCCUGGGCUUUCCAGUUUCAGAUUUUUGUCAAGGGAAAGGAAUUAUGGGGUCAUAUUGCUGGGACAAUUCCUGCACCUGAUAGUGAGCAGGAAAAUGAGAAAUAUGUGAAAUGGGAGGUGAAGGAUGCUCAGAUUAUGUCUUGGAUCCUUGGAAGUAUGGAACACUCCAUGCUUCUCAAUCUCAAGCCUUACAAAUCCUCUAGAGAAAUGUGGGAUUACCUGAAGAAAGUUUACAACCAAAGCAAUAUAGCACGAAGGUUCCAAUUGGAACUCGAGUUGGGUCAACUCAGUCAAGGCAGCAUGUCAAUACAAGAGUUUUAUUCUUCCUUUGUAAAUCUUUGGGCUGAGUACAUAGACAUUGUGUAUGCAAGUGUACCUCUUGAAGGACUUAUUGUUAUUCAAAGUGUGCAUGAGACGAGCAAGCGUGAUCAGUUUUUAAUGAAGUUAAGAGGGGAAUUUGAAGCAAUCAGGUCCAACCUGAUGAAUAGAGAACCAGUUCCUUUCUUGGAUAUUUGUGUAGGAGAGCUUCUCAGGGAAGAACAACGAAUCAUUACACAAGCUGUCUUGGAGCAGAAAGCUCAAAAUUCUACUCCAAUUCCUGUUGCAUACACUGCUCAAGGGAGGUCUAAAGGAGGCAGGAAUAUGUCAAAUAUCCAGUGCUAUAGCUGCAAAGGAUUUGGGCACAUUGCCACUACUUGUACUAAAAAAUUCUGCAACUAUUGUAAGAAAACAGGGCAUAUCAUCAAAGACUGCUCCAUCCGGCCUUCAAAGAAAUCUGAAACUGCCUAUAAUGUCUCGGUUGGUUCCUCAAAUACUCCUAGUCCUGGUCAGUCCUCUAUCACCCCUGAAAUGGUCCAACAAAUGAUAGUUUCUGCCCUUUCUGCUUUAGGCCUUUCAGGUAACCGAAAUUCUGUUCCUAAGCCUUGGUAUUUUGAUUAUGCUGCUUCCAAUCACAUGACCAACACUGCCUUACCUUUAAAUAAUGUUAAAAAAUAUAAAGGCAAUCUUCAUAUUCGUAUUGCCGAUGGUAAUCCCUUGUCUAUCACAGCUGUUGGUGAUAUUUCAGCUCUUUUGAAUACUGUCUUUGUGUCCCCUAAGCUGUCCACUAAUCUUAUAUCUGUUGGCCAAUUAGUUGACAACAAUUGUGAUGUUCAUUUUUCCAAAUCUGGUUGUUUUGUGUAGGAUCAAAUGUCCGGGAAGAUGAUCGCGAAGGGACCUAAAGUGGGACGUCUAUUUCCCUUGCUUUUAUCUCCCUCUCCUAUGUCAAAUUAUGUUGCAUGUAAUGCUGUUCAAUGUGAUAAUCAGGUGUGGCAUAGAUGUUUAGGACAUUCUAAUUCUCAUGUACUUCGAGUCUUGUUUAAAUCUGGUUUACUAGGAAAUAAAAAUUUGACUUCUUCUAAUAAUGAUAUUGUUGAUUGUGCAUCUUGCAAACUUGGUAAAAGCAAAACACUUCCUUUUCCAUUGCAUAAAACUCGCACCACCAAACCUUUUGAAAUCAUGCAUACUGAUGUUUGGGGUAUUGCACCUGUCAUUUCUCAUGAACAUUACAGAUAUUUUGUUACAUUUAUAGAUGAUUUCACUCGUUUUACUUGGGUAUAUUUUCUUCGAUCUCAAAGUGAGGUCUUCUCUGUGUUUAAAGUCUUUCUUGCCUUAGUUGAGACACAAUUUUCUGCUAAAAUCAAAAUUCUGCAAUCUGAUUCAGGGGGUGAAUAUAUGUCAAAUGCAUUUCAAUUUUCUACAGAAGCUGAGUAUCGCGCCAUGUCUGCAGCUUGUUCUGAAAUUGUGUGGUUACGUGGUCUUAUUUCUGAACUUGGGUUCCCCCCAACUGCUCCUACUCCACUUCAUGGUGAUAAUACUAGUGUUAUUCAAAUAGCUGCGAAUCCGGUCUACCAUGAACACACCAAGCACAUAGAGGUGGACUGUCAUUAUAUUAGGGAGGCCUUUACUCGAGGUGUUAUCACUCUUCCUCAUGUCAAUAUUGCUCUUCAAAUAGCUGAUGCCUUUACAAAAGCCUUGACACGCCAACGACAUCAGUUUCUCAGUCGCAAAUUGAUGUUGUUCGAUCUACCCGCAUCAAUUUGAGGGGGGAUGUCAAUAUAUUCUCCUUUAUUUCAUUUCUUUAAUAGCUGUCAGUGCUGUCAGUAUAUUCUUCUUUUCUUAUUCUAUUUCUUUCAUAGCUGUCACUAUAUUCUUCUUUCUUUGUUUAAUUUCUAUUAUAGCUGUAUAUCCCUUGAUUCUCUCUAAAGAUCUACAUUAUUGUCUAGGCCUAGUAUUAAAGUAUCUGAUUAUGUUUAUUAGAUCCUAGAAUUAAGGGAUUUGAUACUUCUUGAUGUAUAUAUAUAUAUUGUAACUCUCUUAGUGAAAGAUACAGAAAACAUUUCAGAAUUUCUCUUGUAUUAUCUUGUCAUCCUCUGCAUCUGGCAACUCUUUUAAUUGCACACCUGCUUUAACCAUGACUUGAAAGUUGUCUUGUAGUAUUUGGAUGGCCAUGUCCCUAAUCAAGUCAUGCAUCUUGACACAUCUACUACCAUCACCAUCCAUUUUAGCACUUUCCAAUAGGCAGACAUUUUCAAGUCUAUUAAGCAUCGUGUGGCCCUCAUCAAAUGCAUCUCCCCUGCUCCUCAUUCCUUUAAUUAUUCCCUCAUCGAUCAAAUAACCUAUCAACUCCUCCCUUUCAAUCUCAUGAUCUUCAGGAAAUAAUGCACAGUACAAGAGACAUUGCUUUAGUGCUAAAUCACCUAACCGAUCAUAACUAAACCUCAAAAACUUGAAUACUUCAUUGUCCCUAAAUUCUGAUUCUCUAAAUUUCUUCAAUGUAUUUCUCCACUCAUGUAGGUCAUCCACUCCUCUCAAGCUUCUUGCUACUGUAAUAAUUCCCAACGGCAAACCAGCACAUUCCUUUGCAACAGCUUUUGCAAUCCCUUCCACUUCUCGCGAAAGUGCCAUGUCACGUCCAAGUUUCUCCAUGAACAAAGUCCAAGCUUCUCCGUUAAAAAGUGGCUUAACCUUGAUUUUGCGGUGGCAAGCCAUCCGAUGACAAACCGUUUCAUAAUUAGCUUGCAUCCUUUCAACGGGACAGGAAUUCUCACUUCGUCAAGCUCAAAAUUGUUCCACAAAUCAUCUAAAAUGAGAAUCCAUUUUUGUUUCUUCAUUAGUUCUUCUGACAAUUUGGCAGCUCUAUGCAGAUCAUCAUCUUCGCUUGAAAGGUCUAGAGGGAAGACGUUUAGCAAUAAUAUUCUGCAAUCUAUUAAUGCUGAAAUCUUUAGACACAGUCACCCACCAAACAUGAUCACAAAUAUCUGGUCUUUGUAGAAGCUCAUUAUGGAUAUGUUGCAGUAUUGUUGUUUUACCAACUCCCCCCAUCCCAUAAAUGCCAAUGGUUGGAACUUCAUCAUCCAUUAACAAAGACCAUAUCACCUUCUUAUUCUCUUCAAAUGCUCGACCCACUGGCUUUAUAGAGCUAGUAGGUAAUGGAACUCCUCUAGUCUCACUUGUGUUGUAUUUAAGGCUUAUAGAAGAUCUAGCUCCAGCGUCAGGCCACACUGAUCUUCCAUUAUUCUCCACAUCCUCCUCCACUGGUUUUGUCCUCACUCUAACCAUGUUCUGCACAUCAUACAUAACGACAUCAUUGUUUACUGAUGGAGCAAAUAGUUGGUCAUAAUAUCUUCCAUGAUCAAGACACAAUGGAUCUGUUGGUUGGGAUGAAUCUCCUCGAGGCUCAUCAGCUUCAUUAAUUGAUGGCCUCUCACAAGAGCUACCUCUCUCCAGAUGCUGCACUUGUUCUGUUCUCGCUACAGUUUCAAAUCCAUCAUGCAGACGCUCCACAUCCUCAUCUUCCUGCAUUAAAUAGGUAGAGAUUUCAUUCAGCUGCUGCUCCUUUGAAAGGGCAGAGUGUAUCUGAACCCAAGUGCCAUCAACAAAUUGAUCCACUACAUCUGUUCCUUGUGUUGCUUCUCCUCUAUUCUCAUGAGCAUCAACUCUGAGUCUCCAAGGAGAGUCACUUCUAUCAACAUGCUGAGAAGAUCCUUCACCAGUGUAUUCCAUGUCAUUUGCCGCUUCUAAACGCGAAUGAAUUCUCUCAGGCCCAACACCUUGUUCCAUGCCUUGAACUCCCGCUUGCAUCCUUCCAGCAUCAUUAACAUUGCUUAAAUUUGCUAUGCCUUUAUGCCUUUUGUUGCCACCAUGCAUAGCUAGAAAGGCUGCUUCUUGAACUUCUUGAGGCACCUGACCACAAAUGCCAACACCAUGCCCUCUAUCUCCUGAUAAAUGCCAUUUGAUCCUCGAAAUGGAAGUACCAUUGGCAAAUAAAUGCCCACAAAACUUACACUUCAUGCUUCCAUCAUUCAUAUCUUCAACACAUUCCAAAACGGAUCAUCUGAUCUACCCAUUUUGUCCUAUAGAUAAAAAGGGUCAAAAUAUUGAAUAAAAAUUAAUGGAAGUAUAUUAAUUGGAAAAGGAAGGUUGAAACUAAAAUAAUAAGUUACAAACAGCAAAGAAACUAAGAAGAAAAAACAAUGAAUUCAAGGUUAACUUGGGGUCAAUUUAGUAUGAACUCCGUAAGGCAUGGAUUGUUACAACUGAGAAAGAUCAAAUUAUUUAUUUUUGGAAACUGUUGAUGAUCCUAACUCCAAAGUUUCUCAUUAUAAUUUCUACAACUUGUGUUUUCCUUGAAAGAUUCAAACCAUAGUUACAUGUGAAAAACAAAAUGAAGAAGAUGGAUUAUAAAUAAUUUACCUGGAUUCAAGAUGUGCUUCAAGUGCUGGUUUGCUUAAGCAGUAUUCAGCAAAAAAGACAAGAACAGAGACGAAUAUACGGUUUAAAAAUAAUAAGGUAGUUGCAAGAUGUUGAGCUCCAGAUCAUCAUUCGAUUCAAUUAGAAAAGGAAGCACUGAACAUCAGAAAGGCUUAAGAAAUUUGAUGAGGGAAAUCGGGAAGUCAAUGGUAUAAUGAGAUGAGAUUUGGAAGAUUAUUGUAUUGUUUGAGAAGAAGGAAGUUGCUAGGAAGGAAGCCACAAACUUUACCUGCCAAAUAUUAUAUUAUAAGAUAUGGCAAGUUGCUGUGCACCUCAAAUUUGCUUUUCUUUUGUCUAGCGCUUGCAUAUAAUUGAAAACUUCAACAAAAGAAUCAGAAGCUAAUUGCUGGCUGAGUUGAACGUGUAGACCCACCCCAUUGUUGAAACUUUGAAAAAGCUGACCUGAAAAUGUAAGAGCCUGAAGCUUAGCUUCAAGAGCUGUAAGUACUAUGCUAUGAAUGAUGCCUCUCACUCCUCCCCCAUCAAUUUUAUCUAAAUGCUGUUUAUUGCACGCUGCUAAUUGAGAAAUACAGAACUCAGUUCAACCCAGCAAGUUGUUGCGUCAGAGUUAAAACUCCAUAGCAGUCAGCACAGUCUAUGAUGAUAAAAUUGAAAACAAAACAAUGGUAAGCAUAAAAUUGAAAACUCCAUAGCUUUGAUUUUAUUUGAGCGAUGUAAUGACAUGAUGGUUUCAUGGCUCCAAAACUCCAGCAGCAACUCUAUUAGGUCUGGCAUAACAUUUGUUGACAGUGCUCGAGAUAUUUGGCUUGACCUGCAGGACAGAUUCUCUCAUCAAAAUGGUCAAUGCAUUUACCAGGUAAGAAAAAGUUUAUCUAAUCUCUCAUAAGAGAAUAAUCCUAUGAAUGUUUACUAUGGUAAGCUCAAAACUCUUAGGGAUGAAACAUUGAUUUAUGAUCCCAUUCCAUCUUGUAGAUAUGGUACCAUGAAGACUAUAUCUAAACGUUAUCAGCGUGAUUAUGUGUUCCAAUUUUUGAUGGGUUUGAAUGACUCUUAUUCUCCCAUACGGGAUCAAAUCAUGCUGCUUGACCCCAUCCCUACCAUUACUCAAGUUUUCUCUAUCAUUAAACAACAAGAACGCCAGCAUCAGCUUACCUCUAACUCCACACAAUAUGAUGACAUGGCCUUUGCCAUUAGAAAACCUCCUCAUUCACUGCCAAGUUUCCAUCACACUCUAGAUACAAAAAGGAAAGAACCUACUGCACUCAUUGCAAGAUUACAGGACACACGCUUAAAAUUUGCUUCAAAGCUGGCAAUAAUGAAGCUCCUAUAUGUUCUCAUUGCAAUUUCACUGGUCACACGGUAGAGAAAUGUUACAAGUUGAAUGGCUACCCUCCUGGUCACAAACUACUCAUUAAGUCCAGAAGUCUUAAUGUUCUUGCAGUACAGUCCAUUUCCACUCCUGCUGCCGAUGUUGCAAAUAUCAGUGACAUUCACAUUGGUUUAACCAAGGAUCAAUACAACCAACUCAUGGCUCUGCUUCCAUCAGGGGCGUCUACCACUGCUCAGACCUCAACUCGACUCCAUACCUCUCCCACUCCUCAUAUCUCUUGGUACACACUAUUGUUUAAGUGCUCACACACACAAAAAGUUUUCUUUCCAUCAUAUACCUUCGAUCAUUGAUACAGGAGCAACAAUCCAUAUGGUCUCCUGUCCCUAUUUCUUCACUACCAUUACCUCUACUGCCUCUCAUCCUGUUGCAUUGGCAAAUGGAACACAUGUUCCUGCUACACACACUGGCACAAUCCAGUUAACUCCCUCCAUUUGCCUCAAACAAGUUUUGUGUGUUCUUUCUUUUAAUUUUAAUUUAAUCUCAGUCAAGAACCUGAUGACUAAUGUUACAUGUUCUAUCGUAUUUUUCUCUAAUCUCUAUGUUAUUCAUAAUCUUUGUGUUAUUCAGGACCUUUUAUCUUGGACAACGAUUGGGAAGGGUGAAGUGAGGAAUGAACUUUAUCAUUUUGUCAACAUCAUCUCCCCUUCUCUCCUGGUCAAUACAUUAACUUAUUUUUCUACAAACUUUAUUGUAGCUUCUGUUUCGCAUAAGAGCACUACUGCCGAUUUGUGGCACUGUCGUCUAGGACAUCCAUCAUCUCCUGUUAUGUCUUUAAUCAUAGACCUUAUAGUAAACAAAUAUCAGUAUAAAACCUUGCUACGUUUGUCCCUUAGCAAAUUUUCAAUUUUCAUCGACGGCCUUUUUCCUAUAGCAAGCAACAUGCCUCACAGCCUUUUGAAAUUGUGCAUUGCGAUCUUUAGGGAUUGUCGCACAUCAAUCCGCGCGGUAUCGGCUGGUGAUUUUUUUCGUUAUGCGUUUUCUUUGCUUUGAUUGGUUCGUUGGAGUCGCCACCUAGUAAUUUAUUGAAGGCUACUAGGAAACCGAAUGUACUAGUCUUGUUAGAGAUUUGCGGGUAAGGGACUUGUUGUGGUUAGAGAAGGUAUUAGUACCCCUAACGCACCCUACCUGAGGUAAGCUGCUUCGUGAAUUUGAUAUGUUUAAAGAAGUUUCAAUAAUUGUUUUUUUCAUCGGAUAUUAGAAAUACAACUUACGUAUAAGUUAAUAAUUUUGGACCGUGAGCAAAUUAAAAUAUUAAAUUCUUCUUUAUUCUUUGCAAUUUUAUCAUAAAUAAAAACAUCCAUAAAAAAAUAAAAAAAUAAAAAUAAAAAAAACAUACAAACACACACAUACACUUUCACUAUAUUGUUUUUCUUUUCUUUUUUUGUUACAUCCACACUACAAAUAAUCAAAAUUCAAUACUAAACAAAAAAAAUUACAUCAAACAUUUUAAAAUUACAAAACAGCUCCUAAAAAAUCCAUAACAGUGCUGGGAAGCCUUCCAGAAUUGCCGGAACAGUAGCGGCGCAUUGUUCCAAGCGUGGAUUCACACGUUGCUUUGUAUAGACCUCUUAAUUUCCAAGAGAACCUUAGCCAUUCCUUUAUGCAAGUGCACGCUUUGCCAAACAAUCUCUUAGGAUAAUGGGUUGCCCUCCGACGGCUUGCCAUAACAGGCCAGGACUAAUUUCGACUCUUCGUUGGCGAUAGCAGUGAUGGGAAUGAUGACACUUCUCUCCAUCCUUGACCAUUUCAAUUUCGAGGAACUCUCCCACCAUCCCAUAAGAAAGUAGUCCUUUUUGUUUGAAGAAUUUUCCCAAUUAGUCCUUAUAUUUUAGAUAUGGUCUUCAACAUGCUUUUACAAGUUUAAUUACUCUUAAAUUGCCCUUAAGACAUUUUCUAAUCUAUCCUUUUAAUAAGUAUCUUUGUUUGAGCUAAUAAAGAUAAAAUUAUUAAUUACUUUAAAAAACUCAAUCCUACCUAAUUUAUAUAUAUAUAUAUAUAUAUAUAUAUAAAACAAUUGUUUUUAUGUUAAUUUUUUCUCAUGGUUAUCUGUAAAGAAGAAACUGUAUCGAUCUAACCAUUAACAUGUUAUUUAAUAAUUAAUUAAAUAUCAAAUCUUUUGUUUUAUUAAUUUUGGCUUAAACUAAUAAAAUCAACCCAUGAUCCUAUCAUUUGAUCAAUUUUAUUAUUUUAUUAUUAAUUAAAUUUUUCUAAACAACAUUGUUUUAAUUUUGUUUUAAUAAUUCAAAAUUCUUGAAACAAAACUAUAAUGAAUUGAUAUAUGUCGGCAUGGGUUCAUCUACCCAACCUAUAAGUCGAACUUUAGACCAGUCAUUGAACAAACUGUCUUUAUAAAUUCGAUCACCUGUAAAUAAAGUUUAAUUAGUCUAGAAACUGUUGGAUGCAAAACAUAGGCUGCAAAGUUUAAUUUUUUUGGGAUGUACAAAGCACAAAUAAUAAUAAUUUUGGAUGCAAAACAUAGGCUGCAACGCAGAUGGAGCAAGAAAUUCCACCCCAAGAAAAAUCCAAAUCAAUGAGAGGCGAAGAGUUCUUGGUGUUUCUGCCAUUAUCAAUUUUAUUUUAUUUUUCACUCUCUUCAUGUGAGUAUAUAAGCUAUCUUAGCAUUUACAAUUCAAGCCAAAAUUGAUAAUGGCAGAAACACCAAGAACUCUUCGCCUCUCAUUGAAGACCAGGUUCCUCCUCGCCGCCCACUCCUUUGGGAUUCGCGCCGCCAGCCGUUCCGACCACACCGUAAACCGCAGCGUAUUGAACAUCUUCGACCCCAAGGCCGCUGCUUCCGCCAAACCAAUCAAUGGGGUCUCCUCUUUCGACAACACUAUUGACCCUACCCGCAACCUGUGGUUCCGCCUCUACGCCCCCACAUCCACCGCCACUACCGAUGCUCUGCCUGUGAUCAUAUUCUUUCAUGGUGGGGGCUUCGCAUUCAUGGCGGCUAACUCAAAAUCUUUUGACGUACUCUGCCGGCGACUUGCCCGUGAAAUUAAUGCAGUUGUUAUCUCUAUAAACUAUCGGCUUGCUCCUGAGUACAAGUACCCAUGCCAGUACGAGGAUGGCUUUGAUGCAUUGAAUUACAUCGAUGAAAUGACCUUUGAGAAUUUCCCAGCAAAUUUGGAUCUUGGAAGGUGUUUUAUUGCCGGUGAUAGUGCAGGAGGUAACGUGGCUCAUCAUGUCGUGCUCAAAGCUUGUGAACACACAUUUUCUAACAUAAAGAUCAAGGGACUCAUAGCAAUGCAGCCAUUUUUCGGAGGGGAAGAAAGAACAGAAUCAGAAAUCAAGCUUGUUGGGGUUCCUUUAAUAUCAGUGGAAGGUACAGACUGGAUGUGGAAGGCGUUUCUGCCUGAGGGAUCGGACCGAAACCACUCGGUGGUUAAUGUUUUCGGACCAAAUGCGGUGGAUAUUUCAGGCGUGAAGUUCCCUGCGACGUUACUCUUUGUCGGAGGGUUCGAUCCCUUGCAAGAUUGGCAGAAGAGGUACCAUGAGGGGCUGAAGAAAUCUGGGAAAGAAGUACAUUUGGUAGAGUAUCCAAAUGCUUUUCAUGGGUUUUAUUGCCUGCCUGAAUCGCCUGAAUGUUCUUUGUUGAUCGGUGAGGUGAAGAGUUUUGUGCAAAAGCAGUCAUCUCUUACAUAGGGUGAGGAGACGACGAUCUCUAUUUUAUUAUUAUAUCUUAUUUUAUUCACAUUCAAUAAUUAAAUCGUAUUUAAAUUGCAAUGAUUUUAUUUACUAUUGAAGAUAGAUUAUUAUAUGGGUAUUGAAAUGUUCAAUUAUUUGAUGUAUUAGAUUUGACUUUUGAGGGAACGCUAAUUUGUUUUAAAUGCUGGAAGUACGUCUGGUUGGAAAAAUAUUAAAUUAAUAUUGUUUUUAGGUGUUUUUUAAUAUAAAAAUAUAUAUUAUUUUAACAUAUUUUUAAUUAAACAACAACAUUAAAAAAAAAUAUUUUGCUUUCCAUUACCAAUCACACUAAAAUUAUGUUGUGUGUCCUUUGAGCCAUUUGAUGAGGAAUGGUGAUCUAUUAAGUUUCUUGAGUACUCAUUGAUCUAUUAAGUUAUUUAAAUUUAAUCUGAGUAAUUUUUUAUUUAGAUAAAAAAUGAACUCAGUUUGAAUCAGAUUUUAGUCACCGAGUUGACCCAGCUAGCUGGUUUUUGCAGGCUGUGUUUUUGUACAUGUGGAGGGGAAGGGAAAUAAUGUAUAAUGAAAUGUGCAUGACAACUGGGUUGAUGCUUGAUAGUUUCGACACAGUUCAUUUUUCAUUGUAUGUGGGACAGAAGCAAAGAAGAAGAGAAGAGGACAAGAUGCCAAGAAAUAAAACGAAGACUUAUUGGAUGUUUGGUCUUAUUAGCAUAGCCAGUUGGAAGUGUACUGUUUCAUGUGGCUUAUCAGUAUCAAAACUUCGGGUUUGUUUGUAAUUAUAAUUAUGAUUGUAUUUUAAAAUGUUUUUUUAAAAAUGUAUUAAAAUAAUAUAUUUUUUUAAAAAAUUAUUUAUGAAAUCAACACAUCAAAACAAUUUAAAAAUAUAAAAAUAAAAUUUUAGCAAAAAAACAAUUGAAAUUUGAGAGAAUACAGUUUAAACCGCAUUUUCAAACGUUCUUUUUAUGUUUUUUCAAUCACAAAAUUACUUUAAAAAUAAAUGUUUAAUUUGUAUUAUAGUUAUAAGGUAUUUUUCACUUCAAAAAUAUAUAAAAAUAAUAUAUAUGUAACUUGGUUGUUCUGAGGAGAGUCCCGAGGCAAAUGUGGCUCUUCCAUAAGACGGUCGGAUUUGAAACCGAAGAACCAGAGUCAUGCUUUGUGCAAAACCCAGAGGGUUCAAAGAUAUCCAGAUAUUACCUUGCAUCAUCUGCAAAGACACUUCUUCUUAAUAUUGUUUCAUAUAGUAUAGUUCAUGCAUCUUAAAUCUGCUACAGGAAGAUAAAUUGGAAAAAGAAAACAAAGCUCUUUAUUUCAAGUAUGCUUUCAUAAAAGCCACAGCGCAAACAAAGGCAUGAUAUAGCACCAAAUCAUUUAUAACCUAACCCCCCCUAAAAAAUAAAAAUAAAAAUAAAAAUUGAAAGCUUUUGAGUCCUAUAUGGAGGUGGCACCAACUGAAAAACAAAUGAGAUAUGGAUUGUCAUAACCCAAUUUUUGAUCCUUUUAUUUUAAUUAUUUUAUUUACUAAAAAAAUGAUGAAAAACAAGUAAAAAUAAAAUAAAUGAAGAAUUAAUUAAAAUUUAGGUUAAGGGUAACAUGAUUGAUAAGUUGUGAGACUUAAUUAAGUUUGAAAAUUGAUUUAAUUAAUCCAAUCAAGGGUUUAAUUGGAAAAUUGAUAAGUUUUGAGACUUAAUUGAGCUUGGAAUUAAUUUAAUCCAAUUAAGGGUUUAAUUGGAGAAUUGAUAAGUUUGGAGACUUAAUUGAGCUUGAAAUUAAUUUAAUUACUCCAAUCAAGGGUUUAAUUGGAGAAUUGAUAAGUUUUUGGACUUAAUUAAAGUUGAAAUUAAUUUAAUUAAUCCAUUCAGGGACUUAAUUGAAAACAUAUCAAAGUUUGGGGUUUAAUUGGGGUUCGAAUUGCAAAACUUAAAAUCCAAGGACCAGCUUGAAAAUGGCGCCGAAAUGCAGGGGUCCAGUUACAAUUUAACUAGGGACUUAAUUACAAAAUUGUAAACAAUGGAAGGUCCAAAAUGCACAUAGCCAUUAAGCACCAAAAACGGCGCCGUUUUCCCUUUGCUGUUCAUCUUCUUCCCGACCGAAACGGACGCCCACCACCGCACAGCCAUCACUCCUGCAAUUAUCACACUUUAUGGUUGGAAGAAAACGGCAUUGUUUUCUCUGGCUAUAAAAGCCAUGGAACGACUGAGCACCAAAAAGGAGGAGGAAUAAAAGGGAACCAUCGACAGAACCAGAGGCAGCAGACCAAGAAACCCAGAACCGGGGAGAAGAAAAACUGGGGACUGAAAAGGGAAGACCCAGGGGAAAAACUGGGCAGAAGAGAAACCGGGGAAGAAAAAGGCGGGCAUAACCGAAAAGCCCUUGGAGAAAUACAAAAUCGGGGGGGAGAAUAAAAAAAAACUUGCGUUCCUCUGUUUUCUUCUCAAAGAAACAGAGGAGGCCACGAGCAGAAGAGAAGAAAAAGAACGACGAGCAGGGGAACAAACCGAAACAGAAAAGAAGAGGAUGACAGAACAAGGAAAGCUGAAACAGAGGAGAGGAAGCAGUGUUGGUGGAACAGCCCUUCCACACCGCCAUCUUCGUUUGCAAAGCAGCAGAACAAGAACACGUACAGAGCAGAGAGAACAGAAAACAGCAAGAGAAACAGAAACAGAACAACAGAAAAAGAAAGAGCAAGGAGCAGGAAGGAAGCUUGAAGAGAGGAGCCUCACCAUCGUUCUCACCGCCUCCAGCAGACCAGGUAAGUAACCUUUUCCUCUUGCGUUUCUUCAAUUAAUUAGCGUUGCACUGUGCAAGUGAAUUUUAAUUCACUUGCACAGUGCAGCAACACGCGUGGAUUAAUCCACGCGUGUUGCUCAGCCCAGCCCCAAAAAAAAUAAAACAAAAUAAAAGAAUAAAAAAACAGAAAAAUAAAAAAAAAUAAAAAAGAUAAAAAAUGUGUAUGCAUGAAUAAAAAUAAUGUAAAUUUACAGGUUUAUUCACUAACGCCAGAGUCAGGAAUAAAAAUACUGGUUUAAAUUUAUAUUAUUUUUAUUCGUUGUAUUUUUAUUUUAUUUAGCUAGAAAAAUAAAAAAAUAUGUGCAUUCGUAAAAAUAAAAUUUAUUUUUAUUUAUUUAUUCACUGGCGCUAGAGUAAGGAAUAAAAAAACAUCAAUCUAAUUUUUUUCGUAGCUACGAAUUUUUACCAACACCAGAGUUGGAAUUAUUCGAGCUCGAAUAUUCACUGGCGCCAGAGUCAGGAAUAUUAUAAACAAAUCAUCAUAGCAUAAACUAAUAAACAUUUAGCAAUUUAAGACAAAAUCAACAAUGCAGUCUGCCUUAGGCAGAACGUUUAAGGGGUAAUAAUAUAUUUUCUUUUACGUAACCAAUCCCGAGCCAUAGAAUCUCUGUUGACCAGUUAGGGUUCCUAGUGACCAUAAUAUUAGGUGGCGACUCCUUAAACAAGACAUUUUUUCCUAAAAGAACCGGAUGCCAGAAAUCUGUUCUUUUUCCACCAUAAUUCAAGAGAAUUAUUUUUUAGGGCCGCCGCGAUGUCGGGUGCGACAUGGAUGAAGAGUCCAUUUGGUAUGACUUAUAGAGAAUCUUUUUUGACUUCGAGUCAUAAUUCUAAAGUUAAUUUUCAUGAAAGACUUCUGACAAAAAUAAUUUAAGUUGGAAAUAUCUUUGGGAGGCAUUGGCUGAGAAUAAUUUCUUUUAGGAAUGGAGAUGGUACAAGUUAGAAUCAAUAGGUUACAAGUUAUAAAUUUCAACUUUUAAAUUGAUUGUAGAAAUAAGUUUUUGAUUCAAGAAAGUUAUUUCAAACCAAACAUAUGGUUUUUCUUUGAGUAAAAACAAAAAACUUAGAUAAUUUGCAAAAGUCAUGCCAAACGAAAUCUAAGUUGAGUAAUAUUUGUUAGGAUUUACCAUUUAAUGUGCACCCUACCCUAAGGGGUAGGGUUACCAUUUGUCAAUGGUGGUUGCACUCACCAUUGACUCCCAUGUGCAACUGCUGGAAAGAAGAAAAGAAGCCACCAUUUGCCUAUAAAUAGACACUACGAAAGAGAGCAAAAAGUGAGAGAGAGUUGUGAGUGCAAUAGAGAGGAAGAGAGAAAGAGGAGCUGCUGCCAUGGGCAGCAGCCCUGCUGCCAUUGCAGCAACGAGAGAUGGGAGUUGAGUGGAUGUGAUCCUCCUCCAUGUAUUUAUUGUAUCCUUUCUCUAUUUCUAAAUAAAAUGAACCUCUCCCGUGGAUGUAGGCGAUUUGCCGAACCACGUAAAAUAUUGUGUCUCAGUGUGCUUACCCCUCCUAUGAGCAAUUAUCAAUACAUCACCGGUCGUCGGAAUUCUGCCCAACAAUCAGGAAGAUCACCCCCUUUGACAUUUAUAUGAGCAAUUGUCCUCUUGCUUCUUCAGCACAAGCUUGCAUCCUGCUGCUCUUCCAAGCUUACCAUUCCGAGAGCGUCCGUGGCCAAGUUUACAGGUACUCGCCCAACCUUUCAAUCACUAGAGUUACCCAAAAGCACACCUUUUCUCACACAAAAGGAAUCUUACAACCAGAUGGUCUGCCACAUCACAUCUGAAGAGUGUUAACGCUUGUCUCUAGGACACAACAUUCCCUUCGAGCGUAUCAUCCAUGCUCGGUCCGGAAUGAUUCAACAAGCCUCACACCAAGGCUUACAACACCCCCUCAAACGGAAAUUUCUAUUUCCAAGUGCGACAGUCAUUAUCUAAGUAUCUCAAUAUGAUCACGAGCUCACCACUUUUCCAAGAGUCUACUCAUCCUGGAGUUGCGCCUGCCCUCUGUUCCAUCCUAGGAACCACGCCUUACUUCUCCGUGAGUCUCUCGCUCUUAGUCUCAAGAGUUCAGGUAGCUCUCCACCUUUAACCAUGGGGGCAGCCCAUUAAAGGUUGAUCCAUGUAUAUCUUGAUACUGUGAGUAUUACAAUGCCUUCACCGAGCUCACCACCUUGACAAGAGUCGACCUGUUCCUGGAACCUGCGCAUGCCCUCUGCUCCUUCAUAGCAGUCGCGUUUUAAUGCUCCACAAGUCAUCCACUUAUUAUCCAAGGCAAAUGUCUUCUAGCUCAUUAAUCUUUAGCAUGGAAGCAAUAUCCAUGAAAGUCAUCCUGCAUUUGUCUUCAUCAUACUCAUCACAGUCACUUCAUUGACUAUACACUGUCCACUUAUAUCUAGCCAUCACAUCGGCUCUGGGCGUUCUGAACUGGGGCUCCUAUCCUGGCCCUCAACCUUCUUCAAGGUGUCUCCGCUCGUCAUCAUGCGGCGGUCUGAAUCUAGGGCUCCUAUCAUGGCCCAUACACCUUCCAUCCGAGGUGUCUCCGCUCGUCAUUAUUAGUAAUGUGGUUUUGUUUUUUACUCAGGUUAAUCAGUUAAUAAGUGAGUCCACCAGUACGUCUCUUAACUAUCGUUGCUAAAUUAAAACAUUUUUUUUUAUCUACAACUAUGUGAAACUUUUUUAAAAUAAAAAUAUUUAAAAAAACAUUGUUAUUUUAGUUUUUUUUUAAUAAAUACCAUCGUUUUAGUUUUUAUAAAUAAAUAAUAUGAUGUGGUUUUGUUUUUUACUCAGGUUAAUCAGUUAAUAUGAGUCCACCAGUACAUAUCUCAACUAUUCGUUAUUAGUAAUCAAAAUAUUUUUUUUUAUUUUUAAUAUUAAUAUAUCAAAAAAUAUUACUACUUCACUGUAUUAGCCAAUCCUUUCCUUGCCUGUUCUCCUUCUUUUUUUUUUCUCUGGCGCAAUUGCCAACAAAUACCCCUUUUUCUCAAGGAGGCAGCCCUCCUUUUUCAUCACGUCUCCAUGAUCCCACACGUUUUCAUCAAAAACCUAAAUUUUGGGACUUCUUAGGCAGCCACUUAAAUGCUUUAGGAGUUCUUUUUUCGAAAUCCUCAUUAGAGGCUAAUUUGUAGCCCUUUAAGAUACCUUUCCAACGCGUCAAGAAUCAAACAAUCUGAUACGUGAGUGGAAAGUUGUGAUUAAAAUAUUUAAGUGCAUCCAGGUUGUUUUCAAGAAAAAAAAACAUUACUACUUUUAGUGUAUCCAGGCUGGUUCCAAGUGAAUUUAACGGAUACAUAAACUUAAAUUAAUAACUUUUAAAAAAAUAAACUCAAAAUUUAAUCAGUUAAAUUAUAUUCAUCAGGUUAACUCCUUCGAAUUUGAUUGGUCUUGACUUACUUUUCUAUAAACUCUAAGUCAAACACAUAAAAACCUGUUUAAGAGUAUAUAAAGUAAUAGAAAUUCAAUUCAAAUAUACACAUUAAUUUCUAUUUUUCUAUUCACAUUUUAGCAUUUUAUUUCAAUAAUAAAGCAUUUAGAGGUGUUUGAAAGUGCAGUUUCAAUUAUUUUUUAAUAUUUAUGUUUAACAAAUAUACAUCAAAUAUAAUAUUUAAUUAUUAUUUUUAAAAAUUAUUUUUAUAUCAAUACAUCCAAACAAUUUCAAAACACAAAAAAAAAAAUUAAUUUUAAAAUUAAAAAAUUAAUUUUUUUAAAAUACUUUUAAAUCAUAAAAACAAACAAAUAAUAAAAUAUUUUCGAACACUUAUCAGAACCAGAGGGAGUUUCACUGCAGUAGAAAACUUCAACGCUUGAUUUGCUAUCCAAUCUGUACACCAGCUGGAUAGCAAUUUCUUUUCAUAACAUUUACCAGUGUAAAAACUUUUUACUUAUUUUUAGUUUUAAUAUCAAAUUCAGUCUUGAAUAAAUUCUAAUAUCAAAUUUUACCUUCAAAAUUUCACUUAUUUUUAAUCAAUUAAAUUGAACAAAAUCACCUCUGCAUUGAAUUGUUUUUUCUUCUUAGACCACAAGAGCUCCAUAACAAGCUUAUUGAAAUAAAUUAUCAAAUGAAAUUAAAAACAAAAAUGCUUUAUAAAAAAAAAAACAGAAGACAUCUACCUUGUUUUUCACAAAAUUUCUAAGAAUAAAAAAUUUUAUUAGAUGUCUUAGCUGAAUUCUAAACUAUAAUAAAAUAAACAAAAACAAAUUAAAAAAAAAAAACAGGCAAAACAAGAUCACGUACUAUUGUAGUUUACAAUGAAAUAGGUGUGGAUAUAUAUAGUGAUUCUCCCAAGUCUCUUAGCUUUUCUCUUAAUGAAAAUUAAUAACCUUAUAAUAUCUUCCUAUUCGUAAGCUAUCUAUAAUUUUAUUUGAUGUCAUGAGUGUUUUUCUUGAAGUUAUUCUAUUUAAUGUCAUGAGUGUUCUAUUGAGGAAAAAAAACUCUAUUUAAUGUCAUGAGAUUUAGUAAUCAAAAAUUUUUUUUUUUAAUAUUAAUAUAUUAAAAAUAUUAAUUUAAUAUUUUUUUUCAAAAUAAACAGAUUUUUAAAUGCAAAUAAUUCUGAGUACAAAAACAAAUUAUGUUUUGAUUGCGCAUAACAAUCAUAGCAGUAAGUAGCAUGAUCCUUUCCAAUUGAGUAAAUUAUAGGACUUUUUUGGCAGCUUGUAUUAAGUAAAUUAAGAAUUAUUCUUUCCAAUUGAGUAAAUUAAGUACCAGGUAUUCAAUCUUCACAAACUUUAAUAUGUAUUAAGUCAGAUUUGUUUAAUUAGAUUUAUCAAGUUUGCUUAAUAAGAUGGAAUAUUUAUGAAUAUUUUAAUCUAUAGUGUUUUCUCUCUGGUACAUAGUAAAAGCCUGGGCAGUUUUUUUUUUUUAAUUUUAAUAAUAAUUCUGUUCUUUCUAUCCCAAGAACGAACAAAAAAAGAAGAAGAGAAAUCACAGAUGAGAGAAGAAUAUAUGGCUUAGAAAAAUAAUAAAGUUGCAGUAUACAUAAAUCUAGUUGCAUGGUUAGAUGCGGAUAGAAAAUAAGGUUGUGGUUGUUUUUUUAAAAUAUUUUUUAAUUAAAAAUAUUUAAAAUGAUGUUUGAUUUGAAAUAAUUUUGAUUUUUUUAUAGCCAUAAAAAAAUAUAUAUUGUUAAUUUUUAAAAGUGUGUUUUGUAUUUUAUAAAAAAUUAUUUUUUAAUAAAAAAUCACUAUACUCUCCAGCCAAAUACAUAUAUUAUAUUAUAAGAUAUAGAAAGUUAACAUGUGGACCCGCCUUAAUGUUGACACUUCGAAGAAGCUGCCAAGAAAAUGUAAACACAUGGAAGUUUCUAAAAAGAAUAGCAUAUUUCUGCAUGCUGUGAAUUUUUUAAAAAACAUUUUUAUUUAAAAAUUUAUUAAAAUAAUUUGUUUAAAUUAUUUAUUUUUUAUCAACACAUCAAAAUAAUUUAAAAAAAUUAAAAUUAAAAAAAUAGGUUGUAACUGUAAAGAUAAACCAGUUUUGACAAUGCUAGAUUAAGUGUGCAAAUGAGAGUGAGGCUCCAAAUCUAAUUACGUAGCAAUUACUAAUUGGGAUAAAAAGAAAUUAAAAGAGAAAUUACCAAUAUUCGCUUGCAGGUGUGUUUGGUAGAUCUUAUGCUUCUGCCUUUGAGUGUGUAUAUUAGCUUUACCAUGAAAUUUUGUGAGACAAAUUAUAGUGAAUGUUUUUCAUUUACCAAUAUACCCAUGGUGUUUAUAAGAGUGAUGCUACAUGCUGAGGUGGAUAUUAGCAACAGAGGAAAGCAUACAAAAGUUAACCAAAAAAAAAAACAUCAUUGAUAGCAAAGGCGAAAGCAUAUCAAGCUAACAAAAUCAACCCCACCAAUUCUCAAAUAUUCAGAUUUUAAAAAAAGCACAAUAUUUUAUUUGGUUUCAUUACAAAUUCAAUAUUUUUUUUAAGGUCAAUAUUUAGAAAUAAAUAAUAAAUAAAAGCUGCCCAUCAAUAUUUAAUUUAAGUAACCUCAAAGACUACUAAUUUAACUUUCGUUAUUAAAAGGGCGCGCGUAUGUUGUUGGUCCCUGCCUAGUUGAUGGGGCAAAUUAAGACUAGGUCUUCAAUCUUCAUAAACUUACAUAUGUAUUAAGUUAGAUUUGUGUAAUUAGAUUUAUCAGUUUGCUUAACAAACUUUCUAUGUUGUAUUAAUUUAAUUAUCACAAUUUCUAUGACAAUAACUAAAUUUAAUGUACUGCUCAUGUUCAUGUGUUGGGCUUUAUGCUUUCCGUUCUUCUUUGGAUUUUUCUUUGAAGUAUGGAAUUGGCAAUCCCAUUUCAAACCGACCCAAAUCCACCCAUUGUACAAGUAAUUUCAAUAUUAAUUAAUAAGAAUAUCCUUGUUUAUUUAAAGGACUAUUUUCAUCAUUCAUAUCCAAAUAAUGAUGUUUUGCACAUAAUUUUUAACAAAAAUAAUUGAAAGAAUGAUAUAUUAUUGAAUAAGAGGAAAUUUAAGGUUACAAUCUAUUAGUAUUCUUACAACCAUAUCUUGUCAAACGUUACAAAGGGACGAAGGACAUCCUUUGCAUUAGGAUGCUCCCACUCCACUACUGUCUCCCACCAUUCUUCUGGAUGUACCUUGAUUUUUUUAAGAGAAGGGGGAGGAGAUGGCUGGCCAUUUUCAAGCAACGGAAGACAAAUUGCAUCCUCUUCAGCUUCUCACAAUACUUUACUAAUAUCUUCGAGAGAAUUGCAAAUCAGUUUUGCACUACAAAUGCUUUUUAGUUCCGGUAAUGAAUGCAAUGUCAGAGUUCUUAACUUUGGGAGUGUUAAUUCCGUGAUGGAAUUGGAGGUGCUGCUUUCUUCAUCUGUUGUUCCUAUUAUCUCCUCCAUUUUCUUACAUGAUGUCACUUCAAUCCUUUCCAGGUUUACGAGGUUUGGCAGCAACACAAGUGGAACAACUUCUUCAUACUUUACAUCCAAACAAUAAAACCUUUUGACCAGAAAACAUACCACUAUAUGAUGGCAAUGUGGUGGAGCAGAGCAGAACCAAGAAGAUGAAACCAAGCUCUCCAUGCUAUCGCAAACCCCAAUGCUGAUUUCCUCCAGUUCAGUUGCAUUCUCUAAUGACAAAACAUCACAUAAACUUCUUGCAUCGAUGCAUUCACAAACCAGUCCUUGAAUGCCAUUUAAGAACUGACCUGAAAAUCUCUAUCUCCGUUGAUACUCAAAUUACCCAACCCAACUGUUUUACUUGGACUUUUCAGUGACAUAAAAGAAUUUCAGAUUUCCUACUGAAAUUCUGUAUGUGCUUAAUGAUUGGAUCCCAUCCCGAGAUCUGAGAUACUCCACGAAGUCAGAGAAACCUUCGAAAUGGCAUUCCAAAGUUUCCAAAUUUCCAAGGAUCCUACUUCCUUUCCUUUAACUGUUAUCGGAGCAUCAUCGCCAUAAACUCUUCUAGUACAAAGACUUGCAGGUGAGAGAGUUUUGGUAAUAUCCCACUAGGAAACUCCUUUUCACCACAUCCAUUCAUUCUAAGAUACCUCAGGUUGGUUAGGCAUUCCAUUCCUUGCGGCAUCUUUUCAAGCGCGUACGAGGAGAUCCAACCUCUUCAGUGCCCUGAGCUUCUUUAAUGAUGGAACAUGUUAAUUUUCACAACAUAGCAAUAAUGCAGUGAGACUCACCAAAUCAGAGACAGAGUCUGGCAAAUUUUUAAUACCUGUGCAAGACAGAUCGAGGACCUUGAGCCAUGUGCAAUUGCUUGAAAAAUGAAUCCGCAAUAAAUCCCAAAAGAUGAUUUUACAUAGCAAUAGAGUUGAUAGAUAGGGACACCUUGGUGAAUAGCUGGAAGGAAUUUCUUUGAUCUUGUUUUGCAUUAGUGAGACUCUUGUGAGAUUCUCUGUCCACUCCUCUGCAUCUGGCAACUCUUUUAAUUGCGCACCUGCUUUAACCAUGACUUGAGAGUUGUCUUGCAGUAUUUGGAUGGCCAUGUCCCUAAUCAAGUCAUGCAUCUUGACACAUCUACUACUACAUCAUCACAUAUAUCACAUUUUAGCACUUUCCAAUAGGCAGACAUUUUCAAGUCUAUUAAGCAUCGUGUGGCCCUCAUCAAAUGCAUCUCCCCUGCUCCUCAUUCCUUUAAUUAUUCCCUCAUCGAUCAAAUAACCUAUCAACUCCUCCCUUUCAAUCAUGAUCUUCAGGAAAUAAUGCACAGUACAAGAGACAUUGUUGUAGUGCUAAAUCACCUAACCGAUCAUAACUAAACCUCAAUAACUUGAAUACCUUCUCAUCCAUGUCCCUAAAUUCUGAUUCUCUCAAUUUCUUCAAUGUAUUUCUCCACUCAUGUAGGUCAUCCACUCCCCUCAAGCUUCCUGCCACUGUAAUAAUUCCCAAUGGCAAACCAGCACAUUCCUUUGCAACAGCUUUCGCAAUUCGUUCCACUUCUGGUAAAGUGUAUGUCACGUCCAAGUUUCUCCAUGAACAAAGUCCAAGCUUCUCCCUCGAAAGUGGCUUCACUUGAUUUUGCGGUGGCAAGCCAUCUGAUGACAAACCGUUUCUGAUCGAGUUGUCAUAAUCAGCUUGCAUCCUUUCAACGGGACAGGAAUUCCCACUUUCAGCUCAAAAUUGUUCCACAAAUCAUCUAAAAUGAGAAUCCAUUUUUGUUUCUUCCUUAGUUCUUCUGACAAUUUGGCAGCUCUAUGCAGAUCAUCAUCUUCGCUUGAAAGGUCUAGAUCAAGACGUUUAGCAAUAAGAUUCUGCAAUCUAUUAAUGCUGAAAUCUUGAGACACAGUCACCCACCAAACAUGAUCACAAAUAUCUGUCUUUGUAGAAGCUCAUUAUGGAUAUGUUUAGUAUUGUUGUUUUACCAACUCCCCCCAUCCCAUAAAUGCCAAUGGUUGGACUUCAUCAUCCAUUAACAAAGACCAUAUCACCUUCUAUUCUCUUCAAAUGCUCGACCCACUGGCUUUUAGAGCUAGUAGGUAAUGGAACUCCUCUAGUCUCACUUGUGUUGUAUUUAAGGCUUAUAGAAGAUCUAGCUCCAGCGUCAGGCCGCACUGAUCUUCCACUAUUCUCCAUAUCCUCCUCCACUGGUUCUGUCCUCACUCUAACCAUGUUCUGCACAUCAUACAUAACGACAUCAUUGUUUACUGAUGGAGCAAAUAGUUGGGCAUAAUAUCUUCCAUGAUCAAGACACAAUGGAUCUGUUGGUUGGGAUGAAUCUCCUCGAGGCUCAUCAGCUUGAUUAAUUGAUGGCCUCUCACAAGAGCUACCUCUCUCCAGAUGCUGCACUUGUUCUGUUCUCGCUACAGUUUCAAAUCCAUCAUGCAGACGCUCCACAUCCUCAUCUUCCUGCAUUAAAUACGUAGAGAUUUCAUUCAGCUGCUGCUCCUUUGAAAGGGCAGAGUGUAU